rnacentral:lncRNA from 1 species
AAUUCCGUCCAAUUGGAGGCAAGAGAAAGAAGGAUUUGACCAAUAAAUCGAUUAUUAUGUAAAUCCAAUUGAACGAGGCUUUUCAGAUUGGACAAGGACAGAGGCAGUUCCCCGUUGAGGUUAUUGGAAGACAGGGACAAGUGGGUGAGGUUUGUACAAAGACCAAGCUCAGAAGGAAUUGAAGAGUUUAUGGAGUUGUAUGAAAGAUCAAGGAACUGGAGCUCCCUGAGUUUGCCUAUAGAGGGUGGAAUUUUCCCUUCCAGAAGAUUCCAACUCAGGUCAAUAUGUUGAAGACCAGAAAUCAAACCGAUAUUGUCCGGAAUUGGGCCAGAGAAUCCGUUAUAACUGCUGUACAAAGAGUUGUUGUUGAAGUCCAAAGUUAUGAGGCUGGAGAGAUUUCCAAUGGCAGAUGGUAUAGGCCCUCGGAAAUAGUUGCCACUCAGGUUGAAGUGGGUAAGAUUCGGAAAUAGAGAAAAAUCGAAAAGAGCGAGUGUUCCAGUAAUUUGCAUAUUGGAGAGGUCUAUUUUGGAGACUGUAUUGGUUUUGGUGCAGGCAAUGGCAGUCCAGUUGCAGAGGCUGCUGAGGUUGGUGAGGGACCAUGAAUUGAGUAGCGAAGGUGGCCAUGAUGAUGAAGAAAAGUCGUCCUUCCAUUUGAUGAGUGAUUUUGCUUGUUUUCCUGGAGAUAUUGAUGUCGUUUUGAUCAGUGGCAAUGCGAACAGCAGCAGGAGCAUAUAAUGAAAUGUCAUGGUUUUGAGUUGCAUGAUGAUCUGUUAUUUUUUGGUGGAGUAUUUCCCUUUGUCCAAGGCACAAAUAAAUCGGAGCUAAUAACAACUUUGAGGUGCAUGCAGACUUUAUAAUCCUUUCUUUACGCUUGGAAUUUCGCACAUGACCAUUAAAGUACGCGUAAUGCUUUUAAUCUUCUGUUGCCUCUGACUUCCAAUAAGCUCAAUGGAUUGCCGCUGCCGGGCCCGCCGAAAGCUUCAUUGGGUCAGCCGUUCCGAGAAGCUACCAGAAAGUACAAGUUUUUUUGAAUUUCCUUUGUUUUUUUGGUUGCAAGGUUUUUCUAUUUUUCAUUUACUUUUUAUUAUAUGCAUACGUUUGUGGUUCCUGAAUUUUGAAUUUCCAUGGGUAUUUGGCAAAUUUGUCCAUUCGUUAGCCAAUUGGCUAAUUUUGUCGAGUGAAAGUGUUUACAAAUUUUUCCAUUUGAAUUUCUAGUUAAUUAAUCUGAUUAAUUGUUACUUGAUUUUGCAAAUGUUUUGGUAAAUACGUGAUCAAGGCAUUGGUCACAUCAAGUCAUGAUGUUUGUCGUGUUUGCUUGUGACAAUGCCGUAACCCACACGCAGCUAGAAUUAAACUCUGCUAAAAUGACUUGAUGUGCCAUAUCCUUUAGCCGUCCACCUAAGAAAUUUUCAAAAACUAAGACAUCUUUGAACUUUGUUCAGUCUGCGCAAAUAGAUGGGGCCGCGGGAAGACUAGACCGCGUCAAUCAACGUUAGCACCACACAUCUCCAAGCGUAAAGAAAGGUUUAGGAACUCUGCACCUCCGAAAUUUCACCUAGUUUAGAUUUAUUUCGGAACUAAAAGAAUCUGUUAACGGGUGCGUUUGGUACGCAGACGGAACGGGACGGGACGGAACGAAUGUGUAAUUUUUGAAAAAGACAUGGGGUAUAUUUGUCUUAAAAUGGUAAAACAGUGUGUUCCACAGACGUGGAACAAACCCGUUCCAGGGGGAGGUGGGACCCAAAAACACCCAAAAUCUGUCCCGUGGAACAACCCGUUCCACCCAUUUUUUGGCGCACCAAACGCGGGACGGAACGCCUCGUCCCGUUCCGUCCCGUCCCGUCCCACGUACCAAACGCACCCGGUUAACUGAAUAUAACAAACCAUGAGUUCUACAUGAGCAUUUCUUCAAUAUGAAACCUAAAACUAAGCAGCAUUCUCAGUGGGGAGCUGCCACUGUCCUUGUUCUACAUGAGAUUUAGUUACCGACCUCACGUACUUGUUCCUUGGCUUCCAAUUUUCUUAGUGGGGAGCUGCCACUGCCCUUGUCCAAUCUGAGCAGCAUUCUCCAGUUGGAUUUCUGCGAUAAUGUAUUUACGGAUCCAAUCUUGCCUUCCGUGAUCUCCAAUUGGAGUCUAGUUGUCAACUAAAAAUUGAUACCCAAAGCUUUGUUGCGGGAUUAUAAAUUUUAAGAAAAAUUAUGCCAUAGACAAUUAAUAUUAUUCACAUUAGAAAUGUUAGAAGAUUUUAACAAACAAAAGAUUUAAUCGAUACGGUCCACAUACAAACAAUCAUGGAACUUUUGUCUCUACAUAAAAUAAAAAAUUAAAAAUUAAAAUUAAAAUCGAAAAAGCAACCUAGACAAGGGAAAAAAUCAAAGUUCACUGAAGCACCUAAAGUUUCUGUCCAGUACUCUUGAUUGUCAAGAAAGCAACCUAGACAAGAAAAAAAUAUGAAAUAUUAAAAUACAUGCAAUUAAUUCAUACAUCAACAGGUUUAUACUAUAAAAAAAUUAUAAAAAAAAAAAGGAUAAAGUAUGGUUACAUAGUUUGUUUUUGGUGGAAAAAAUCUGAUUUUAUACCAGUUAGAGAGGACUUUUUUCAGUGAUUUAAUAGUCUCUUGUUUAGGUCAGUGCAUUCUAAUAUUGUAAAUGUAAGUAUUGAGAUUUUAUGUGUUAUGUAUUGUGUUUCUCGUGUUUACAUGUGACACAUUUUCAAACCUCAACCCACACGCUAGACGCUGACGACUGAUAUUUAUUCGUCAACUCCACACUUGACCAAGACAUCCUUUCACAGUCCACGCACUCUAGGUGUUCGAUCGAAAGCGCCCGUGCUAUUUCAACACCGGCGUGAUGGUGACCGACUUGGUAGAUGGACCGCUUACGAGAAAGAUCGAGAAUUCGAUGGAGAUUCCCAAGGAGAAGCGGAUAUACGAGCUGGGUUCUCUUCCGCCGUUCUGGUGUUCGGCGGCGACGUGGAAGCAAUUCACCACUGAUGGAACCAGCAGAAGAUUAGGGAAUGCCUUGCCCUGUCGAUCUUCUUUGGGCCCCUUACGACCUCUACAAACACCAUCAAAGUCACCUUCAAGAUCUGCAUCUUCUUCAACAUCAUCACCAUCAACAAACACAUCAGCAAUUUUUUAUGUUCUAGCACAAUUAAGAGAGGAUUAUUGUUUGAUUAUUUACCUUUUUACAGAAAUCAUUGAUGCAUAGGAGGAAAUAUUAUUUUACCAGAUGUAAAUAAAUAGUGAGAGAGAUUUGAAUAGGGUGAAAUAGGACCGGCGAUGGGUAGACAGGAGGGAUAGGGUUUUGUUUUAAUUAAUUUAAUUGUUAAAUAAAAAUUAGGGUAAACAGCCAACUUAGUUCCUAAAUUAUCACAUUAGUGAAAAUUAGGUUCCUAAAUUAUUUUUUUCAGAAAAAUUAGUGCCUAAAUUAUAAAAAUCUGCCAAUUACAUUCCUAAUGUUAUAUUCGAAGCUACUAUAUUCAAUUUUUUGUCAAUUUAAGUCACGUUACUUGCAUGUGAUACACAUUGGAGGGUAGAUUGGUAGUUUUUAUAAAGAAAUAGCGUAUGAAGUUAACUUUAGAGGAUAAAUUGAUAGUUUUUCAUAAAGAAAUAGUGUAAAUUAACUUUUAAGGAUAAAUUAGACAUUAAAUUCGUAACCUAUAUGAAAUGUUAAGGGCUUAUAAAUAAGAAAAUGAUGGUAUUGCACUUUAAAGUGUGUCAAAUGACUUAAGUUGAUGAAAAAUUGGAUAAAAUAGCUUUGAAUAUAAUAAUAGAGAUGAAAUUAGCAAUUUCUAAUGAAUUUAGGGACUUAUUUUACCCAAAAAAUAAUUCAGUGACCUAAUUUUCACUGAGGUGGUAGUUCAGGGACUAAAUCGGCACUUCAUCCUGAAAAUUAAUCAUUAAUUAUUUUUGUAUUCAAUGUGGAUCCCGCUCCUACCACGUCAUCAUUUAACAGUCAAAUUGACAAAAAAUUCUGACAUUGCAACGAAUUCAUAAGUUGAAGUAUGAUAUUGCAAUUUUUAAAACAUAAGGUAUGAGAUUGUUUUUCGACUCAUAAUUAAGGUAGUUUUUUUUGUAAUUUACACAUUCUUUUUCGAUUAUGUGCCGUGUUUGUCGUGUUUGCAUGUGACACAUUUACAUGCCUCAACCCACACGCGUAACGUUGAAUCUGAUAUUAUAUGCAUCAACUUCACACUUGACCAAGACAUUUCAAUCCUUCACACGCAUGUUGGGGCUGGACUUUGUUCAGUCUGUGCAAAUGGAUGGGGCCACGGGAAGACUAGACGGGGUCGCUCAACAUUGGCGCCACACAGCUCUUGAUUGAGUUGAAAAAUCCUUCCCGAAAUUCCAAGCGUAAAGAAAGGAUUAGAAACUCUGCACCUCCAAAAUUCUUACUAGCUUGGAUUUAUUUGUGGAGGUGAUAGAAGCAAAGGGGAGGACCAUGCAGAAAAAGAGUCGUUCUUGAACUAGUGUUUGUGGAUUUUACAUUGUUGUAAUCUGUUUUAUGACUUGUAUUACACACUACAAAAUUCCUAUGUUUUAUGAGCUUUAUGUAUGUUUUCUUGAACAAUAUUUCUCAUAAUUUUUCAAUUACCAUUCAAAAAUCAUCCAUGCAAAAAUUCAUUAAAAGCGAAAAUCAUUUAAUUACUAAUUGUGGCAUGACAAAUAGAAGACGACGAUGACAGAGUUGUCGAUAACAUGUAUAUAACUUUGUGUUCUAAUAUUAACUUGGAAUCUAUAAAAUUUGGUGUUAAUUGUAAUAUUCAGUGAUUAUUUACAUAAUAGUACAGAGGAUCCUUAUAAGGUCGACGUACUAACGAGAAUACAUCACAUAAAUAUGCUAUUAACUAAAUUCUAUAAAUACUAAAACCGAGCUGCUGUUCUAAAGCACAAUGAAAUGACGGAUUUGUCAUCCUCAAACGUUCUUUUCUUUCAUUUAUUUUAAGGAAAACUAAUGAAAAAUGUUUGAAAACUUUGAGUUUUAAUGAUAAUGACAAAAUAAAGGGUAAAGUAAAUAGUACCAGGUUUGACUUUUUAGUGUAAAAAUGUGGUUUUUCGUUAAAGUGAACAGUACCGUGGGCUUUUCGUUAAAACUCCCUUUAUUUUAUGGGGGUACAGUGAAAAGACAAGAAUGCCCAUUCUUAGGCGUGGUUCGCUCGUGGCUUUCCUCCCCCACCACUGCUUUCUUGCUUCAGUCCGAAUCGACACGUUCCCUGACCUUUUCCUUGUUGCUGCAGUUCGAAUCCACAUGACAACCUGCUCAUCCAAAUUAAUUUCUGUACGUUUCAUUUGGCAACCCUAUUCUUCCACAUCGUUCUAAACCCAAAACCCAAAACCCAAAUCGUUGUUGCUCAUCCAAAACCCAGACAACCGCCACCACCACGUUUUACAAAUUCCUCUUGACUGAAGGUAAGCGAAAAUUGCCCUCUUCAUCUCCACAAGUAAAUUUGAUUAUCUAUUAAUUUCUCCCAAUUUUUUUUGGUUUCAAAUUUACAUCGAUUGCUAGGGUUUUGGAAGGGUGUAUGGGUUUGGGUAAUAUUCAUAAACCAGGUUGCACAGACACUUUGAAACUCCAAAGUGUCAGAGUUUGUUUUUAAUCCUCCAACAUUUGACGCAUUUUAGACUAGGUUGCAUGGACACUCCGACUCGCCCCUGACACAGGUUGGACACGACCCGACAAGGGUAUUUUUGUAAAUUUGAAAAAUAUUUUGAAUCAGUUUGAAAACAUUGAAACAUUUGGGGCAAUUUGAAAAUACAAAACCUAAAGCCUAAAAACAAAGGAAAACUAAUGAAAAUGACUUGAAAACUUUGAGUUUUAACCAAGAACCAUGUAAUAACUUUAUUUAAGGGAACUUUAACAAAAAGCACCUGGUACUGUUCACUUUAACGAAAAACCACAUUUUUACACUAAAAAGUCAAUCCUGGUACUAUUCACUUUACCCUUUAUUUUGUCCUUAUUAUUAAAACUCAAAGUUUUCAAGCCAUUUUCAUUAAUUUUCCUUUUAUUUAAUGGUUAGACAAAGCCUAAUACUAAAUCAGUCUAAUUAAAAUGCCCCAAAUAUUGAGUUUACAAUUUAUCCCUAACGGCAAGCUUUUGUCCGUUAAUCUCUCUUCAUUAUGGAUCUCUCUCAUAUUUUCUCCCCCAUUUUUUCUUGACAUUCAAAACCUUCCAUUUUUCUUUCUAAUCUCGCAUAGCAACUCCAUUUCUAUCACUAUGUAAAAACCACAGCUUCGACCCCAAACCUAAUUUUGAGCCGUCUCCAUCUCUGUGACAAUCAGAAACGAUCUCUUACAAGCAAAACGGUAUGAUUUCAUCACUCUCUCUCUCUCCCUCCCUCCCAAAAUUUCUCUCUCUCUCUCUCUUCUCUGUAAAGAUGAGCAAGUGAUCUGCACUUUCCAGAUACAGUUUUGCCAACAUUUUUUUUUUCCAGAUACAGUUUUGCCAACAUUUUUUUCUAGAAACAGUGUUAUGUUUUUGUUUUCUAGAAAUAGUGUUAUAUUUUGGUUUUUUUUUUUCAAAUACAGUGUUUGUUUGUUGAUAGGAGCAUAUUUAUGCGACUUAGUUAGCUUGUUUCUUGGCAUUUAUUUAGUUAGUUUCUACUUAUUAUAGUGAUUUAAGCUAUUUUCGUGUGUUUGUAGGUUCAAAUGACAAAGUUGGCAAGAAAAUGCAUUUUGGUGCAGUUUUGGGCUGAAUUGGAGUGCAUGCAUGUGGGGCAAGUUAAAUGGACGUUUUUGGUGCUUAAAUGAGGUUAGGAACAUGCUACAAAUUUGGAGAAACAAAUGCAAGUUGCAAGAAUGGUUGGUGCACUCACCUAACCUACCAGAAAUUAAAUGGAUGGUGCACCUACCUAAAUUGAUGGAUGGUGCACCUACCUAAAUUGAUGGAUGGUGCACUCAUCUAACUCACCUAAAUUGAAUGGAAUGUGCACUCACCUAACUCACCUAAUCCAUCUUCUCCCUAUAAAUACCCAUUGCCAUGCAUUCAUGUAAGAGACUCAUCCACCCUUCACCAUAACUUACCUAUAUCCAUCCACCACCAUAACCUAUCACUCAUCCAUCAUACCACACAUUGUGCCGCUGCAAAGAAGAAAAAGGAGGAUUGCUUGGAGUUGUGCUAGCCAUUCAAUUUGGAUUGUUGAAGCAUUCUAGGUGUAUUCUACUUUGGUUUUCAAUGUUUAAUUUCAAUUGUUAACUAAACCCCUUUUGGCUAGGGGGAAUUUCGAAACCAUGAACAUAUUUGUGUUAUGAAUUGAUUAAUUCCAGUUGUGAUUUCAUAAAGUGUGAAUGCAAUUUGCUUAACUGUUUUAUUCAAAACUUAUUCUUGUAUGUUGAUUAAGAAGGCCUACAUAGUUUGCAUGCUUGAAUUUGAUGCUAAAAUAUAAAUGAGUUUCACCUAAUCGUUACAAAUUUAUAUUCAUGAGUAGUGAAGGUUGCUAGUCACAAUCGCAUUAAUUGAAUUCUUGGCAAACAUAUCAUGCAUUCAUAGUUACGAAUGUCUCGUCAACACUUUUGAUUUUCAUGGAACGUAAUGAUCUCUGAUUGUAUCUCUAUUAUGCAUUCAUGUAGGGGACCUUUGGAGAAUGAUUUGGGUUGUCGCAUGCAUUCAUCCAAUUCAAUGAGUAAAGGAAAAUCUGAGAGUUAAUUAGUGCAUUACGGUUAAUCUGGGGUGUUGAGCUUUAUAAUUUAUUGAAAAGCAACUGGAAAUCGUUUCAUAAGCAAGUGUGUCAUGUGUGGAGAAGGAUCAUCUAGCUAGCCCAUCAUCCAUUUAAUUCACCAAAUUCGUCAAAAAUCUGUAUAGUUCUAGUUUAUGUUUUGUUUUACUUAAAAUUCGUUAGUUUUGUGUAUCAAAUUAGUUAGAAUCUAUCUUAGUUUGUGUUUUUAAGUGUUUUGAGUCAAGUUAAAACCAAUUUUCGUUCAAAGUCAUUCCUAGUGUCUAGUUUGAGUUUAUUAAUUGUUUUAAGCUGUUUUGUGACAUGCUUGAACUAGUGUUUGUGGAUUUUACGUUGUUGUAAUUUGUUUUAUGACUUGUAUUACAAACUACAAAAUUCCUAUGUUUUAUGAGCUUUAUGUAUGUUUUCUUGAACAAUAUUUCUCAUAAUUUUUCAAUUACCAUUCAAAGAUCAUCCAUGCAAAAAUUCAUUGAAAGCGAAAAUCAUGUAAUUACUAAUUGUGGCAUGACAAAUAGAAGACGACGAUGACAAAGUUGUCGAUAACAUAUAUAUAACUUUGCGUUCUAAUAUUAACUUGGAAUCUAUAAAAUUUGGUGUUAAUUGUAAUAUUUAGUGAUUAUUUACAUAAUAGUAGAGGAUCCUUAUAAGGUGGACGUACUAAUGAGAAUACAUCACAGAAAUAUGCUAUUAACUAAAUUCUAUAAAUACUAAAACCCAGCAACUGUUCUAAAGCACAAUGAAAUGACGGAUUUGUCAUCUUCAAACGUUCUUUUCUUUCAUUUAUUUUAAGGAAAACUAAUGAAAAAGGCUUGAAAACUUUUAGUUUUAAUGAUAAGGACAAAAUAAAGGGUAAAGUGAAUAGUACCAUGUUUGACUUUUUAGUGUAAAAAUGUGGUUUUGUUAAAGUGAACAGUACCGUGGGCUUUUCGUUAAAACUCCCUUUAUUUUAUGGGGGUACAGUGAAAAGACAAGAAUGCCCAUUCUUAGGAAUGGCUCGCUCGUGGCUUUCCUCCCCCACCAUUGCUUUCUUGCUUCAAUCCGAAUCGACACGUUCCCUGACCUUUUCCUUGUUGCUGCAAUUCGAAUCCACACGACAACCUGCUCAUCCAAAUCAAUUUCUGCACGUUUCAUUUGGCAACCCUAUUCUUCCACAUCGUUCUAAACCCAAAACCCAAAUCGUUGUUGCUCAUCCAAAACCCAGACAGCCGCCACCACCACGUUUUACAAAUUCCUCUUGACUGAAGGUAAGCGAAAAUUGCCCUCUUCAUCUCCACAAGUAAAUUUGAUUAUCUAUUAAUUUCCCCCAUUUUUUUUUUUGUUUCAAAUUUACAUCGAUUGCUAGGGUUUUGGAAGGGUGUAUGGGUUUGGGUAAUAUUCAUAAACCAGGUUGCACAGACACUUUGAAACUCCAAAGUGUCAGAGUUUGUUUUUAAUCCUCCAACAUUUGACGCAUUUUAGACUAGGUUGCAUGGACACUCCGACUCGCCCCUGACAUAGGUUGGACACAACCCGGCAAGGGUAUUUUUGUAAAUUUGAAAAAUAUUUUGAAUCAAUUUGGAAACAUUGAAACAUUUGGGGCAAUUUGAAAAUACAAAACCUAAAGCCUAACAACAAAGGAAAACUAAUGAAAAUGACUUGAAAACCGUGAGUUUUAACCAAAAACCAUGUAAUAACUUUAUUUAAUGGUUAGGACAAAGCCCAAUACUAAAUCAGUCUAAUUAAAAUGGCCCAAAUAUUGAGUUUACAAUUUUAUCCCUAACGGCAACCUUUUGUCCGUUAAUCUCUCUUCAUUAUGGAUCUCUCUAAUAUUUUCUCCCCCAUUUUUUCCUGACAUUCAAAACCUUCCAUUUUUCUUUCUAAUCUCGCAUAGCAACUCCAUUUCUAUCACUAUGUAAAAACUACAGCUUCGACCCCAAACCUAAUUUUGAGCCGUCUCCAUCUCUGUGAAAAUCAGAAACGAUCUCUUACAAGCAAAACGGUAUGAUUUUGUCACUCUCUCCCUCCCUCCCAAAAUUUCUCUCUCUCUCUCUCUCUCUCUCUCUCUCUCUCUCUUCUCUGUAAAGAUGAGCAAGGGAUCUGCACUUUCACCGACAUCGGCAAAAAAGCCAAAGGUGAAUUUUUGCCCUUCCCUCCUCAUUCAUCUGAUUAUUAACGUUUCAAUUUGAUGAAGAAGAAAAGAAGAUUUCGAGGUACUAUUUUUAAUUUUUCUUCUUCAGUGGAGUUCAUCAUUUGUUUCUCCAGGAAAUAAAUUUGAGAUUUGUUAGCUUUUUGUUCAGUUUUUUUUCUUUUCAGAUACAGUGUAUUUUUUUUUCCAGAUACAAUUUUGCCAACAUUUUUUUCCAGAAACAGUGUUAUGUUUUUGUUUUCUAGAAACAGUGUUAUAUUUUGGUUUUUUUUUCAAAUACAAUGUUUGUUUGUUGAUAGGAGCAUAUUUAUGCGACUUAGUUAGCUUGUUUCUUGGCAUUUAUUUAGUUAGUUUCUACUUAUUAUAGUGAUUUAAGCUAUUUUCGUGUGUUUGUAGGUUCAAAUGACAAAGUUGGCAAGAAAGUGCAUUUUGGUGCAGUUUUGGGCUGAAUUGGAGUGCAUGCAUGUGGGGCAAGUUGAAUGGACGUUUUUGGUGCUUAAAUGAGGUUAGGAACAUGCUACAAAUUUGGAGAAACAAAUGCAAGUUGCAAGAAUGGUUGGUGCACUCACCUAACCUACCAGAAAUUGAAUGGAUGGUGCACUUACCUAAAUUGAUGGAUGGUGCACUCAUCUAACUCACCUAAAUUGAAUGGAAUGUGCACUCAUCUAACUCACCUAAUCCAUCAUCUCCCUAUAAAUACCCAUUGCCAUGCAUUCAUGUAAGAGACCCAUCUACCCUUCACCAUAACUCACCUAUAUUCAUCCACCACCAUAACCUACCACUCAUCCAUCAUUCCACACCUUGUGCCGCUGCAAAGAAGAAGGAUGAGGAUUGCUUGGAGUUGUGCUAGCCAUUCAAUUUGGAUUACUGGAGCAUUCUAGGUGUAUUCUACUUUGGUUUUCAAUGUUUAAUUUCAAUUGUUUCUAUUUAAUUGCAAGUAUGAGGAACUAAACCCCUUUUGACUAGAGGGAAUUUCGAAACCAUGAACAUAUUUGUGUUAUGAAUUGAUUAAUUCCAGUUGUGAUUUCAUAAAGUGUGAAUGCAAUUUGCUUAACUGUUUUAUUCAAAACUUAUUCUUGUAUGUUGAUUAAGAAGGCCUACAUAGUUUGCAUGCUUGAAUUUGAUGCUAGAAUAUAAAUGAGUUUCACCUUAUCGUUACAAAUUUAUAUUUAUGAGUAGUGAAGGUUGCUAGUCACAAUCGCGUUAAUUGAAUUAUUGGCAAACGUAUCAUGCAUUCAUGGUUACGAAUGUCUCGUCAACACUUAUGAUUUUCAUGGAACGUAAUGAUCUCUGAUUGUAUCUCUAUUAUGCAUUCAUGUAGGGGACAUUUGGAGAAUGAUUUAGGUUGUCGCAUGCAUUCCAAUUCAAUGAGUAAAGGAAAAUCUGAAGGUUAAUUAGUGCAUCACGGUUAAUCUGGGGUGUUGAGCUUUAUAAUUUAUUGAAAAGCAACUGGAAAUCGUUUCAUAAGAAAGUGUGUCAUGUGUGGAGAAUGAUCCUCUAGCUAGCCCAUCAUCCAUUUAAUUCACCAAAUUCGUCCAAAAUCUGUCUAGUUCUAGUUUGUGUUUUGUUUUACUUAAAAUUCGUCCAAAACCCAAUCCCUUUUACUUUAGUGUAUCAAAUUAGUUAGAAUCUGUCUUAGUUUGUGUUUUUAAGUGUUUUGAGUCAAGUUAAAACCAAUUUUCGUUCAAAGUCAUUCCUAGUGUCUAAUUUGAGUUUAUUUAAUUGUUUUAAGCUAUUUUGAGUCAUUCUAGUUAGUUUUGAGUCUUUUCAGUUUGUUUUGAGUUCUUUGAGUCUAGUUAAGUGUUUUCAAGCCUAGUUUAAUGUUUUUGAGUCAGUUUAGAAUAGAUUAGCAAUCCAUCCUAAUCCCCGGUCCAGAACGAUCCCUACUUAUCCAUACUACAAUUGUCAACAAUAGGGUUUAAUUUGUGUGUUAAGUUAAUUUUCGCAUAAUUUGUACACAAACAAAACAAACACUGUAUCAUAUUAUUUUUCCUAAAACAGUGUUAUGUUUUGGUUUUUCUAGAAACAGUUUAAUGUUUUGGUCCUUUUUUUCGAGAGACAGUGUUAGUUUUUUCCAGAAAUAGUGUUAUUUUUUUGUUUUUCUGGAACAGUUUUAUAUUUUCGUAUUUUUUUUCUAAAGGUAGUGUUAGUUUUUUUCCAGAAAUAGUGUUAGUUUUUUUUUUCAGAAACAAUGUUAGUUUUUCGCCGGUUUGUUCCGAUGGUGGUUCUGAAUUUUUUUCCAUAAACAAUUUUAGUUUUCCAAAAAUAGUGUUAGUUUUUACACAUUGUAUCUGAUUUUUUUUUUCCAGAAAUAGUGUUAUUUUUUGUUUCCAAAAAACAGUGUUAUGUUUUUAUUUUUCCAGAAACAGUGUUAUGUUUUUUCAAAAAUAGUUUUAUGUUUUGGUUUUUUUUUUUCCAGAGACAGUGUUAGUUUUUUCCAUAAACAGUGUUAGUUUUUCUUUGAUUUGUUUCGACGAUGGUUCUGGUGCGUUUUGCACUUCUUUUUCUCCAGUUUGUUCACAUGAAGGUUCUAGUACGUUUUCCACAUCUUUUUCGCCGGUUUGUUCCAACGAAGGUUCUAGUACAUUUUGCACCGCUUUUUCGCCUGUUUGUUUCAACGGAGUUUCUGCCAUUGAAUUUCUUUGAACUUGUUUCGGCGGCUUUGUUCUGAUGAAUGCUUCAUUUUUCAACUUUGAUUUGGUGGUUUUUGAAAUGGGGGAAUUCGAUUUGAUAGGAAGACAGAAAGUUAUUAUGGCAGUUUCGUGUUGGUUUGAGGUUGGUGAAGAAUCAGGACAAUAUCGAAUCAUUUAGGGGUAUUUACGGAAGUGUAGAUUUGUAGUGGGUUGGGCUUGUAAGUUUGGACCGUGGACAAAAGUUUUGGAUGUUUUUUUAUUAAACUUUGAGCCCUUUUGGUUAAAUAACAUUUUGGGAUGGUUUUUGGUUAAAUAUUUGUUGGUCCAAACACUUUUCAUUAAAGCUCUCUAAAAACAACCCAACCUAAGCUAACUUGAUUCUCUAAUCUGCGCCUUCCUUCCACUUCUCUUCUCCCAUGCACUCUUCCUCUCUACGGCCUCCACUCCAGUUGCAUUCUAUUUUAAUUAGAGGUGAGUGGUUGAUGUUUCACUCACCCUCUUUAUUUAUAAAUGAUGUUAGGCUUAUUUUUUUAAAUUUGUUGGUUGUUUAAUUUGUUAUUGGGCAUAAAUAUAUCGUUUCUUGUUUUAAUUAUUAUACUUGUGUUAUUAUAAUUAUUAUGUAUAUGUUAUUUUAGUUAAUAUGUCUAAUGAAUGAAUUUGAUGAACAUGAUUAUUUUGUUAUAUUAUCAUUCACAUUAUUAUUUUUAAUAUAUGCUAUAUUUAUUAUAUUUUAAUUGAUGUGUCCUAGCUGUGUCUAUAUCAUAUUUUUUAAGAUUUGCCGUGUAGUCGUAUCGUCGUGUCGCGUGUCGUCGCAUCUGUGUCCUUAUCUGUGCAACCUAGAGUCUAGAUUUCGUUACGGAGCUGAAAAAAUCUGUUAACUGAGGUUAAUUGCAUAUAACAAACCAUGGGUUCUAUUUGAGAUUUUCGUCAAUUUAAUUACGCGGCAAGAUAUAGGAUCCAUAAUGAGACCUAAAACCAAUACCCAAACUUGCACCCUACGUUAGAUAAAUUAUUUGGAUAAUUUAAAUAAUUUGAUGAGAGACUUGAGUUCAUUAUAUAUUUCACUUGUGAAUGCGGUGAAGUUGAUCAAUACGUAAAAAGUCUUGGUCUAUGAAUUGAUGAUCAUUUUUCUUAUCAAAUAUUUUGCUUUAUAAAAGUAAGUAACCAAAAUGAUGAAUGAGAAGACUAGCUCGGUCCUCCGCGUGAUUCGUGGUGGCAAAGAUUCACCGAAGGUUUGGAUUACAUAACAUCAACUAUACAUGAUACAGUUUGCGGCUAAGCCUUAGAUGAAAUGAAACACACAUAACCAUGAAAUCAGAUAGGAAGCUGCCUAUUACGAUUUCGUUUAAUUGUAAUUAAUUUUAAGAAUACUGUAUUUUCCUUUAUUCUCUCAUUAACUUGGAGUAGUCCCCCGAGUCUUGUAAAUUGCCUUGUAUAGACUCCUAUUUCCUGUAUAAGUUUGGCUCUACAGCCACAUCAAUGAAAUAUGAAAUUCCAAUUACUACAGACACCAUGGAUUCAUCUGAUCCAUACUUCCUACAUUCCUCGGAUCACCUAGGACUUCAUCUUGUCUCCAAGGUUCUUGAUGGAGAUAACUAAGCCAUGGUGUCGUGCCAUGACAAUUGGUCUUAGAGUAAAAAAUAAGAAUGGCUUCGUUGAUGGAGGAGAUGCAACGAUACGGUCCUCACUUGGUUAGCGUAUUCCUUAUGCCAAGAGCUACUCAAUAGUAUCAUAUACCUAAGUACUACGGCUACAGCUUGGUCUGAUCUCAAAGAUUGGUUUUCACAAGGGCUGCAGUCUUGGGUUUACAUGGCUUAACAAAUUAUAAAUUUGGUUUCCACGCAGAGUUCCCAAACACUACACUUUUCAACCACUCAAUACAACUAUAAGAGCAUCUCCCUAUUUUGCCUCAUGAACCCCCUAGGUAUUUUUGUCUACGCAUUUGUCGAGUCCCUUGGGGCCAUGUUUUGCUGAUGUAGCGCAACAAAUCUAAUUCGCCUCGUAAAUUGCCUGGUCUUUUAGAGAUGUUCUAACACAACUCCAUGGCGCGUUCCUUUGGCGAAACAAAAUUCUGACACAACAAUUUCUCUGCAACCAGAGGGAGUGGCAAUUAUAUUCUAAAAAAUGAUUCAAGUAAAUAAAACAAGAUAAACAAAACAAGCAAACUACUUGUAUGUCUUAAAUGGGUAAGUUUUUAAUAGUCCGAACUACUGUGUAGUACAACUUUAUAUUCAUUAAAUCAGCAAGUAAGCAAAACAAUAUUUCCUAAAUUUAAUGUUGAUCGUUUAUUUUUUGUGCUACUAAAUAAUCCGAACUAUAUCUCUGCUGCUUCAUUAAAAAAAAUUUAGUCUAAACUAUUGAAGAAAAUUGGUCUUCUUCAUAAAAGAGUGUAACUUGUUUUUUUUUGCCAAAGCUUGAGGUAUCCCACCUACACCCCAAAGGGUAGGAUUAAUCACCAGCGAACCUGAAAAGACAAAAGGCAUUUUAACCCACCCUUGACCACGGUCAAAUGACACAUGUCCUCCCAAAGUUUUCAACAGUGAAUCACCGUAAUUUUACUAGUUUCAUACCUUGAAUCUAAGGCUGAGGAGCAAACUUGAUUUGAAAUUCUACCAUAUUUCCAAUGGACCACUUGUCGUGGUUAUAAAAGAGCAUAACUUGAGACUCGACAUUCUUCAAUUCAGUUCCUUAAUCAUACAAAAAAAUCCAGCUUUAAUUUUUGUAUUUGUAAUUUAGGGCGGGAGAGAGAGAGAGAGAGUAAAAACCACAAAACGCAGAGCUUUAUAUGUAAUGUAAACAAGACUAAGGACCAAUGUAUUUAUUUAUUGAACAAGCUAAGGACCCAUGCUUUAGAUAGGACAAAAGACUUUGAGGCCAAAGCGUGAUUAAUGAAAAAUAUUGUAAAACUAUAAUAAGCAAGCAAACACUGAUAUUCUCACCCAGUAUCUUUCUUCCCACCCACCAUUUAAUAAAAAUUUUAAUGACAUAUUCUCUAUCUGCUUCUAUUCUAUUACUUUUUUUUCUGCUUGGAAUUACAUUACAAGUAAAUAAAUGUAUGAACACUUUGGAUAGAUGUAGUGAGCCAUACACAAAUCGUUUGAGAUGCAGGGCUAUUAUAAUCGAAUUAGAUGUGAUGAGCCAUACACGAAUUAUUCAAAAAAUUUCUGCACUUUUUUGUUUUUAUAUAUGUUGUUUGGCUAUAAAAUUUGUGAUUACGUGCCCAGAUAAAAUUUCACAUCGAGAUUUCAAACAUUGUACUACAUUAUGGAUAAGAACAAAAAUUGACCUUCAAAAACAUACGUAAAGAUAUAGUUUUCGGAUACAAACUGUCCAUGUAAUAAAAUCUUUUACUGUCAAGUCUUAGUAAUUCUAGUAUAACUAAUUAAUAUGUAUUUUUCUGCUAUGAGUAUUAUGAUUUGUUCUAGCUAAUGGACUAUCUGAAAAUGUUAUGGUUUUCAUAGCGGUUUUUCCCAUUUUCAUUGUAGUCUCUCUCUCAACUGGGUUUCUCUGUCGCUGGCCCACUUCAUUCUGCUGCAGAUUUUUCCCAUUUUUCACUUCCGUUGAGGUAAAAGCCCAAAUCUGUGUAUUUUUGUGUUUGACAAGUUGGUAGGGCAAAUUGUUCUUUGAUCUGCAUAUGAGCAAUGUCUAUGUUUUACCUAUUUUGAUAAUGCUUGGAUUGUACUUCUUGACUUUUAAUUUGGUUUUUGUGUAUUGAGUUGGAUAGACAGUUUAUAGGUUUGGUUCCAUAUUUAUUUGGAGACGAAAAACACGAAGAGGGCAACACAAUAACCCUAACACGUGGCCAGGGUACAUUCCUUCACGUGAUGUUUACCUCCCGCACCGCACGCUCACCUUAGAUCCAAGUUUGGUGCACAGCCCUGUCGUACAUACCACAUUAGGUGGUUCCGACUUGUAGGUGACCCGCAACUAUUCGCACAGCCUUCACGUGAUCGUAGCACUUAAGCGUACUUAUUUACACACAACCCUGUAGUACAAACCACAUUAAGUGGUUCCGACUCGUGUGCAGUAAUUGGUAAAUGAGUUAUAGGCUUAGCCGUACAGGUCACAUUAGGUGACUCCGGCUGACAUAUCAGUUUACAUUGAUUUAUUUCACAUGGUUUACUUAUUUCAUUUUUGGGAUACUUGACAUGGCAUAUACUUGGUUUUCACUACUCUCAAGCUUGAUUUCUACAUACGUAUGUAUUACUAUUUUCUGGAAAAUUAUAUGGGUUUUACAAUGAGGGAUUAUUAUGUUCAGAAAAGAGAAAUGUGUUUUCAAACGUUUUGUUUUUGCCCACUCACCCUUUUGUUUUUCGCCCCUCCAGGUUUUAGCUGCUGAAAGUUCGUAUCGACGAGGAUUCUUGACGAAUCUCAGUAUGGGUGGUUACCUUUGAGGGUAUGAUCUUUACCCACACUACUAUACUUACUUAUACUUUGACGUCGCGUGUGAAAUGGGUCCAUUCCCGCUCACAGCGCACUUUUGUCUUUAGGCACUUUUAGGUUUAAAUUUAUUCACAUUUUCCAUAUCACUACACUUUAUGACUUCGUCACCUUCUAGGUGUCAGCCAGCACAGUUCGAUUCGGAGUCCUAGUGGACAUACCGGGUCGGGGUGUGUCAUUAGCACUCCAGAAAUCUCAUUUUGCACUCUAAACUUUCUAUAAUUAGAAAGAAAAUUACACUUGUGAGGAUUAUAGAAUGAGAUUUCUAAAGUACUAAUAACAGUUUCCAUUCGUCAAUUAGAAAUUAUUAUGUGAGUAUUUUGACUAUUGACUUAUAAUUGGUAUAUUUAUUCAGGAAAACUAAUGAAAAGGGCUUGAAAACUUUAAGUUUUAACGAUAAGGACAAAAUAAAUGGUAAAGUGAAUAGUAUCAGAAUUGACUUUUUAGUGUAAAAAUGUGGUUUUUCGUUAAAUUGAACAGUACGGGGAGCUUUUCGUUAAAUUUCCUUUAUUUAUUAAGGUUAGUUGAAGAGAGAAUAAAAGAAAGAUUUGAUUUCACAGAUGAAAUUAAUCAAAUGUCCCAGGCUCUACAGUUCAAUUCUCUUGGUAUGCACUAUGGACAUUAUUCAAGAAAUUGAUGGUUGUUUUAGCAUAGUGAGAUUGCCGUUGUACGCUUGCAGGAUUAUGCUUUUAGUUUUCUCCUUGAUCAGUUCAAUGCUAGAAAUACAGAUUUGCAUUUUCUUGAUUUGAAUUUGUUUUAGCAUAGUGAGAUUUGCGUUGUACGGUUAAAGGAUUAUGCUUUUAGUUUUCUCUUUGAUCAGUUCAAUGCUAGAAAUACGGAUUUGCAUUUUCUUGAUUUCAAAUUGAGUAUUUUUUUUCUUUCUCAAUUCUGCCACAUAGAUAAGUAUAAAAGUUCUAGGAAGAGAUUGAAAUUGGUGAAAUGCUCAUUGAGGCUGGUAAGGAACUGAAAUUGGAAAUUAUGGAGUGACAACUUUGGUUUGAUCUGAGUGUUAAGUCAUUUGAUGAAACUUUUGUUGCAGUUAUCUUGACACAUAUGAUGUGAGUAUCUUGACACACUAUAAUAGGUUUUCUUUUUGGCAAGUUUGUGUUUCUUAUUCCCAUUCAUGAUUCUGUAAUCAUUUACAUUGAUAUCUCAUAAAUUGGAUGUGAAUAUAUUUAUUGUAUUUUUACUUUUUUAGCCAAGCAAAUGAUUUGAUUGAUAAGUUAAAGUCGAUUUCUUUUUCUUUAUGUCUACAUAUUAUAGGGGCAACGAGUAUGGGGGUUGAAGUUGAACGCAUGUGUGGGACAAAUUCCUAGCUUAUUCAGUAAGUCGCUAAUUAAGUUAGAUUAAAUUGCCUUCAUUUUUUUUUGUGUCCAUGAUCUAAUUUUACUUGGAUGGUUUAAUUUUAUGUGAUGAAGGUUUUUGCCAUUUUGUAUUUUAAAUAUGUUUAAGGUUGAAGAAUGAGUUAGCGAUGGAAUUCUGGAUGCCGAAGAGAAUAAGCCUGGUAUUGUUUCUUCUUUCUUUUUGAGUGAGCAUCUCUUUCAUUUCUUCUAAUUUUGCUGCUUUCUUUUUGUUGUCAAAUGUUUCAAAAUUUCAACUCACAUGUUCGUGUGCAUUGUUGAGGAGUGUAUUUUGCCAUGACUUGGCCAUUAUUCUGUCUUUUCAGUAAUUGUUUCUUUAUUUUUGUUGUAUUAUUUUUUGCAAAAGGGUUAUUAUACAAAAUGGUCCCUGAGAUUUGCAUGAUCAAUAGAAAUGGUCCCUGAGAUUGUCCACCAUCCAUGAUUUUGGUCCUUCCGUAAAAAACUCUUUGGGCAAUUUUUAAAGCUUCGUAACUCAAUUGAUUCUUAACUAAAUUCAACUCAUAAUAUAUCAAAAUGAAGAUAAGAAAGUGUAGAACAAGAUUAUACCUAUUUGGAAGCCCAAUGAUUGCCGGAGAUGGCCGAAAAAUAGCCUGAAAGGUGACUGGUCCGCAGGAAAACUGGAAAACUUGCCGGAAACUGGGUAAACUUUAAACGUUUAUAACUUCUUCAAUACUUAACAAAAUCAAGUGAUUCAAAAACGAAAAUCAUACUUCUCGACAAGAUGAAGAGAAUGGUAUAUUUCUUUACUGAUAACUCACCGUGGUUUGGCCGAAAAAUGGUUAGCCACUUUCAAGCCGUUGUCCAACCAAACCACGGCGAGUUAGCCUUCAAAAAAGGUAUCAUUCUCUUCGUCUCAUCAAGAAGUAUUAUUUUAGUUUUUGAAUCACUCGAUUUAGCUGAGUAUUGAAGAAGUUAUGAACGUUUAAAGUUUACCUAGUUUUCGGCGAGUUUUACAGUUUUCUGGCGGACCAGUCACCUUUCAGGUUAUUUUCCGACCAUCUCCAGCAACCAUUGGGCUUCCAAAUAGGUAUAAUCUUAUUCUAAACUUUCCUAUCUUCAUUUUGAUAUAUUAUGGGUGGAAUUUGGUUAAGAAACGAUUGAGUUACAAAGCUUUGAAAAUUGCCCAAAAUAGUUUUUAACGGAAUGAUCAAAAUCAUGGACGGUGGACAAUCUCAGAGACCAUUUCUACUGAUUUUCAAUCUCAGGGACCAUUUCUAUUGAUCAUGCAAAUCUCAUGGACCAUUUUGUAUAAUAACCCUUUGCAAAACCUAAUCAUCAUAGCACAGUUUUUUCAAACAAUUUUUUUUUUAAAAUGUGUUGCAAAAUGAAUGAUGCAAUAAAAAAUACGAUGUGAGUAUCUUUGCACGCUGUAAUAGGUUUUCUUUUUGGCAAAUUUGUAUUUCUCAUUCUCAUUCAUGAUUCCAUUAUCAUUUAUAUUUGCUUCUGCAUGAUUUCUCAUAAAUUGGAUAUCAUUUUUUUUCAACUUUUUUAGGCAAGCAAAUGAUUUCAUUGAACAAAAGAUGCAUCAAUUACAUGCUGCAACUGUAAGUUGGCGAAGGCAUUAUGGUGCCUUCAAAUUAGCGUCUUUUUAUUUUUAUUUUUAUGGUUUUUGACAGAUUACAUUAAUUUUAGGGUUAAUCUCAGUUUACUAUCUUGAAGUUUCGUGGUUUUCAACAUUUGGUAUAUAAAGUUUUUUUCAUCCCAGAAUCAUACCUCAAGUCUUAGUUUUUGGAUAGUUUCAUACAUCCGUUAAGUUUUUUGUUAGAACUUCUGUUAACUGAUGACAUGGCGUCCACAUAGACAAUACUGAACGCCAAGUAUCAAUAUGGACCCACUUCAAUAUUAAAAAAAAAAAAAAAAAAAAAAAAAACCACCUGUCUUCUACCUCCCCCAACCCUUCCCCUUCCUUCUUCUCUCUGCUACCCGCACCCACUUCAGGGUUGUAAACCCACUAAUUCUCUCUUCUUUACCCUCUCUCUCUCUACCCCUCAUGUAUUCUCUCUCUUUCACUAUUGCACGCUGCAACAACUGCGUCGUUGGCUCCAUUAUCGUCCGCAAGCUCCAAGCCCUAGAUUUCACCAACCUCGUCCUCUGCACCAGCUCCGAACUCGACCUCACCCUCCAAGGCAACGUUCAGUUCUUCUUCACCGUCGAAAAACGCUAAUUCGUAAUCCUCCUGGAUGAUUUCAUCUCCGUAUGUGGGUUUUGCCCUUGCUUGCAUCCUGGCUUCGAAGUUAGCCAAAUCCACCCUCUGAAUGUGUAAUUCCAGGGGCACCGGGCACACCAGGAGGAAAAUUGAAAAGGCCAUGAAAGCUAGCCAUAUCCGUUCUCCAAGAUCCUUUGUAUUUGCCUCCAAGAUGGAACAACCCUGGCCGCCAAUCAAGUGGAGUUCAUCUAUAAUAAAAGACUAACCCUUUGAAUCAAUUUCCAUCUUUCAUCCUUCAAUUUCCAUUUUUUAAAUCAAUUUCCAAUUUUUCGAAUCAAUUGAGUUGUGAUAAAUUCAGAAUUGAGCAAAGGGUUGGGCUCGGAAGUCAAAGAAAGCUGCGAAAGGGUGAAGAAUCUGAGUAUUUGAUAGGAUUGUGAUUAGCUUGAUCACGAUUAAGGGAAAUUUAGUAAUUCUAAUAUGUAUGAGCUGUUUCUAGUUAGUAAUUAGCUUUACGUGUAAAAGCCAGCUGGAUGUUAGUGUGGGAGAAAAGAAUAUAAAGGCCAAUUGUGGCUAAGGUUUUAAAUAUUGAUAUUAUGGGCGAUUUUUCGCCGAUAAUAUCGUUUUUUUCGGAGGACAAUAUUUUGAUACUCAUCCAUUUCAUUAUCGACAAUAUAUCCACAUUUUUGUCAAUAUUAUCGCGAUAAUAUCAAAAAACGAUAUUAUCAGCAUUUUAAUGCAUUAUUUGGACAAUAUAUCCCGAUAUUAUCGAUAAUAUCAAUAAUAUCGCGAGAUAAUACCCAAAAAUACUUAAAAAUGCUAAAAAGUCUCAACACAUACUACACUUGAUCAUAGCCCAAAGGCCGAGCAAGACAUGCUUUUCUCAGCUUGGGAAUGUGGCUUUUAUAGGCCUUCUUGCUUGCUCACUGCCCUCGCGUGGGCUAUGUGGGACUUGACCCAAUGGGAGAGAAAAUCGGAAUUUCGGCCGGAAAUUCAUACCCACUUUAAAUGGCCUUAACUUUAUCAAAACUCAACAAAAUCAAGCAAGAAAAAAAUGAAAGUUGUAGCCCUCGAAGAGACGAAGAGAAUGGUACCUCACACGACGUCUGAAUCGUCGUGGUUUGGUCGGAAAAUGCCUCGAAAGCCACUGAAGUCGCCGGAAACUGGGUAAGAUUCAAAUGAGUUUAACUUUUUCAAUACUCAACGAAAUUGAGUGAAACAAAAAGGAAAGUUGUACUACUCGACGAGACGAAGAGAUUGAUACCUUGCAUGCCGGCCAACUCGCCGUGCUUUGGUCGGAAAACCAAAACGUUUUGCCUCAAGGGCUGGUACAUGUGAACUUGUGACUCCAACUAGGUAAGAGCUAGAUCUAAUUUGGGGCCUUCUAUCCUAUAUUUGUGGACAACCAUCAAAUGCUAAAGAUUAAACAAACAUAAUAUGUUCUACUGCUUAGCAAAAAAAGCUACAAACCCUUUGCUUAUCAACAAGAAAAAACAAGUCAUUGCACUAGAUAUACUUUCAAAUUACGUUGAGUAGCAACCUGAUAUAUGUAUUCGGACAAAUUAUAAAACAAUUGACACACUCCUGGCUUCCAAAAUUCAAUUCUUUUACUUUAUAUAAACUUGAAAAAACAUAAUCGGCAUCCAAAUUAAAGUUUAGUCUUAUUCAACGUAUUGAUUUUCAAUCGUUAAUUGAUAUACUAUAAUUUGGAACUUCAACGCCUAGACGCAUGCUUAUGUGUAAGAAAUUUAAAGUGUCAAAUUCGGCACAUUAUUCUUAAUCAUUUUAUUCACUUCCUUUUUUUUUUUAAUAUCAUGAAUAAAACCUCCCAAUAUUGUACUAAUUAAUUAUAUAUAAAUGAUUAUGGUGUGUUUAAACUUCUUUCAUUAAUUACUACAUAUUUUCUACACUCACAAUGUUUGCCAGCUCGGUAUAUAAUCAACUUAAAUCAGUUAAAUCCAUCAUGCAAUGCAUUUCCUUCCAAUUUUUUGUGAUAAACUAAUAGAUAAUUGACUAAAUAAACAUCCUGCAAAGUUUCAUUAAAAAUUUCCAAGUUUUUCUUACAAUUUCCGUGGUUUCCAUGUAAUUUUUAUCGAUAUCGAUAUUAUCCCGAUAUUUCCAUCGAUAUUUCCGUGUUUUCGGACUACCGAUAUUUCUGAUAUUACCGAUAUUUUCUUCCUUGAUUGUGGCUUUUGGAAGGGCACGGUCAUUUUAUUGAAAAACAAUAUAUACCAAAAACAGUUGCAACUCUAUCUCUCUAUCUCCCUCCUCCAUACCCUGCUCUAUUACUUGGCUACUUGCAGGUCUCGAGUGAAGGACCUGAGGAAUUGAUCUUAUCAUUUGGUAUCAUCCUCUCGAUCCUGCUUCUCCCUCUUGUAUGCCCCGCCACACCUCUAAUUCUCGCAUGUCGGACGUGGACUCGCGCCUCUCCACCGUAGAAGUUGCACUGGAAGCUCUUCCUCAGCUGAUCCAGUCUUCCGCAGCAACCUCGGACGCACGAUUUACAUCCAUGGAAACGAAAUUCGCCCUGCUCCUGGAGCAUCUCCAUCGCGAUCUCGGAUCUCAUGGCGAUGCUGGGUCUUCUGCAACUCACCCUCCUUCGGUGACCGAUCCAACGAAUCAUCCCCUGAUCGUAACUGAUGAGGGCGAUUUUCGUUGCCUCGAGACUCUCCGUUUCCAGCGUCGCGAUUCUUUCGACGGCGAGGGUUUUGCUCAGCGCCCUCCGUGGCCGCAUCGCCUGGAUUUUCCCCGUUUUUCUGACGGUGACGAUCCUUCCGCUUGGAUCUAUAAAGCUGAGCAAUACUUUGCUUGCUAUCACACUCCAGAUCACCAAAAAAUCAUGACAGCUUCUUUUCACUUCGAGAAUGAGCCAUUGUAGUGGUUUCGAUGGCGAGAUUGCAUUCAUUCCACUCUAACUUGGGGUCAAUUCACCACUGCCCUAUGCCAGGAAUUUGGGCCCCUGGAUUUUGAGGACUGCACUGAAUCAUUGUUCAAACUACGGCAAACAGGUACCCUCCAAGAUUAUAUUGUUGAAUUUCGUCGCCUUGCCAAUCGUACUUCGGAUGUAGGCCCUAUAUUGUUGAAGAGUUAUUUUCUGGGUGGUUUCAAACAAAAAUUACGUUAUGAUGUGAAGUUACUUCGCCCAAAUUCUGUUUAUGAAGCCAUAUCAAUUGCUGCCCAAUUGGAGGCUAAGCUCACUGAUUUAAAACAGUAUUCUCCCAAACUUCUUCCACUAGCCAAAACUACGCUCGUCUUACCUCCACCAUCCACGGCUCGGCUUCGUCCUCACACCCUACCCUAUAAGAAACUCACACCCGAGGAGAUACAAUGAAAGAAGGAUAAGGGGGAGUGUUGGUUUUGCGAGGAAAAAUGGGUUCCUGGGCAUAAGUGCUUGCAUAAACAGCUUUUGAUGCUCGAUGUGUCUGAUGAUUUGGUAGUCGAGGAGGAACAAUUGGAAUCACUGGCCUCUGAGUUGCACAGUAUGUCUCUUAGUGCUUGUGCUUUCUAUGGUACCACAGCUAAACACUAUGUCCAAACCAUGAAAGUUGAUGGGAUCAUCAACAACUUGCCGGUCACCAUCAUUUUGGAUUUAGGAAGCACUUAUAAUUUUAUGGAUUGCAGGCUCGUGGAAAAAUAUGGUUGGCAGCUUCAACCCACAAAACCAUUUGAGGUGACAAUAGCAGAUGGGGGGAAAAAUGCGCAGUCAAGGGUGUUGUCAACAUAUGCACAUGGCGAUUGGGAGGUACAAGUGCAACACAAAUUUGUUUGCCUUACCAUUAGGUGGUUGCGAUGUUGUAUUGGGGGUACAGUGGCUAUCAUCAAUAAGCCCCAUGCUCUGGGAUUUCAGCAACUCACUAUGGAGUUCUCGAUGGAUCAGGCCACUUUCAAACUUACACAGUUUGCAGCCCCACUUCCUUCUUCCCAGUUACAUGACAUCAGUUUAUGCAAUCUUGACAAAGAGUUAUACAAUUCUACUUUGGGCGUCUUACUUUACUCUUUGGAGGGCAGCAAGCAAGAGGCCUCUGAUUUGAGCACCAACAGUUGCAGGAGCUGCAAAGGGUCUUAAGUACUUUUGAGGAAGUCUUCUUGAUUCCCAGCACAUUGCCACCUCUAAGGGAGCAUGACCAUCAAAUUCCCUUGAUUCCGGGGUCAAAACCACCUAGCAUUAGGCCUUACCCUCUACAGAAAAGUGGAAUAGAGAAAGCUGUGUAAGAACUCUUGGAUUAUGGUUUUAUCAGACCUAGCCACAGUCCAUUUUCGUUUCCGGUUUUGUUAGUCAAGAAGAAAGACGGAUCCUGGCGGUUGUGUAUUGACUAUAGGGAGCUAAACCACAUCACCAUCAAUGACAAAUACCAUAUUCCCUUGAUUGACGAUUUGUUGGAUGAGUUGCAUGGUGCCCGAUAUUUUUCUAAAUUGGACUUGCGCUCGGGGUACCACUAGAUUCGAAUAAACACUGCCGAUAUUGAGAAGACAGCAUUCUGAACCCACGAGGGCCACUAUGAGUUUUUGGUUAUGCCUUUCGGCUUAACCAAUACUCCGGCUACUUUUCAAAGUCUUAUGAAUGCAUUAUUCAUACCCCAUUUAAGGCAGUUUAUCCUUGUUUUUUUCGAUGACAUACUCGUUUAUAGUAAAUCAUGGGAGGAACACCUGUUACACUUGUCCAAAGCCUUAGAGAUCUUGCAACAACAUCAAUUAUUUUUUAAGAAGCAAAAAUUUUCUUUUGGUCAACAUCAAGUGGAGUACUUAGGCCAUAUAGUUUCCAGAAAAGGGGUAUCUGCAGAUCCAGCAAAGAUUCAGUCCAUUCUUGAUUGGCCUUCUCCUCGCAAUGUCAAAGAACUCAGGGGAUUUUUAGGCUUGACAGGAUAUUACCACAAAUUUAUUCCAGCUUAUGGAAAGAUUUGCCAUCCUCUAUAUCAGUUGACUAAGAAGGAUGGGUUCCAUUGGUUACAAGAUGCUGAGUUGGCUUUCCAGCAGCUUAAAACAGCCAUGACAUUGCCUCAACUGCUUGCACUACCAGAUUUUUCAGUCCUUUUUGUGUUAGAAUGUGAUGCUUCAAGUGUCGGAAUAGAGGCUGUACUUCAACAAAAAGGGAGGCCAAUUGCCUUUACUAGCAAAGCAUUGGGGCCUCGAAACCAAGCUUUAUCUACGUAUGAAAGGGAACUGAUAGCUAUCGUCCAUGCUAGUCAAAAGUGGCAGAACUAUCUCCAAGGCCAUCAUUUUGUCAUUAAAACGGACCACCAAAGUCUAAAAUACUUCAUCAGCCAACGGGCAACCACUCAUUUCCAGCAAAAGUGGGUCUCCAAGCUCUUAGGAUUUGACUACGAAAUCCAGUAUAAGCAUGGGGCGGAUAAUGUUGUUGCCAAUGCUUUGUCUAGGGCUUCGGGUUCCAACCUCUUACCUGAAGACACUUUGCAAGGUCCUGAAUGCACAGCAAUAACCUAUCCCUAUUUUGGGUGGUUAGAUGAUCUCAAGAGACAUUUGGAGUAAGAUCUUUGGACAAAUCUCUCUCCAAAUACCACCUAGACAAUGGUUGUUUGAAGUAUAAUUCCAUAAUGGUCGUCGCACCGGAUUCGAGUUGGAGGAAGAGAUUAUUUGAGGAGCAUCAUUACACUCCCAUUGCAAGCCAUGAAGGGGUGUUUAAAACGUAUCAAAGGUUGAAAAUGAGUUUUUACUGGAUUGGUAUGAAGAAGGGUAUCAAGCAGUGGGUAGCCGAGUGUAGAAUCUGCCAACAAAACAAAUACGAGACCAUCUCACCUCCGGGACUUAUACAACCCCUUCCUAUUCCUGAAAAGGUGUGGAAUGACAUAAGUAUGGACUUUAUCACUAGCCUACCCACUUGCAAAGGUAAAUUAGUGAUCAUGGUUGUGGUUGAUCGCCUAUUCAAAUAUUCCCAUUUCAUUGCACUAGGGCACCCGUACACGGCUAGCAUAGUGGCUCAAACAUUUGUGAAAAAUGUGUUUAAAUUGCAUGGCAUGCCUACCACCAUUGUCAACGACCGGGAUAUUAUCUUUCUGAGUAUGUUUUGGAAAGAGUUCUUCAAGCUACAAGGGUCUUGACUUUGCAUGAGCUCCGAAUAUCAUCCCCAGAGUGAUGGGCAAAGUGAAGUGGUUAACCGUUGCCUGGAGACUUACUUAAGGUGCUUCACAAGCUGCUAGCCUAAAAAAUGGCUCCAAUGGCUCUCAUGGGCUAAAUGGAGCUAUAACACCUCUUUUCACUCUUCUGCACAGUUCACUCAUUUUGAGAUAGUUUAUGGAUAUCCUCCUCCCCACAUUGCUGCAUACGAAAGAGGUACUGCUAAACUUGAAACAGUUGAACAAGGAUUGAUAGCUCGAGAUCAAAUGAUGUCCAUGUUGAAAACAAAUCUCUUGGUUGCACAGAAUUGGAUGAGGGUUCAAGCGAACAAACAUAGGAGUGAAAGGGUAUUUGAAGUUGGGGAUUUCGUGUACUUGAAGUUAAUUCCCUAUCAGUUACAGUCCUUGGCUAUGCAUGCUUAUCACAAACUACAUCCCAAGUAUUAUGGACCCUUUGAAGUGUUGGAGAAAGUUGAGACCGUGGCUUACAAAAUUAAACUUCCUCUUGAGUCCAAAAUACAUCCUGUAUUCCAUGUGAGCUGCUUAAAGAAACACUUGGGUGCAAGGGUCGAACCUAUUCCCCUACUUCCCUUGGUGACAGAUGAUGGCCUACUCACUCAAGAACCAGAAGAAGUGCUCCAACGAAGAAUGUACAAAAAGGGCAGUGCAGUUGGGGUUCAACUACUAAUCAAAUGGAAGUUCUGUUCAGCGGCAGAAGCCACAUGGGAAUACUAUGACUCUUUCACUGCUCGAUUCCCAGAGUUCAAGCUGUGAAUUGUAACCUUGAUGACAAGGUUGUUUUGGAAGGAGAGGGUAAUGAUAGGAUUGUGAUUAGCUUGAUCACGAUUAAGGGGAAUUUAGUAAUUCUAAUAUGUAUGAGUUGUUUCUAGUUAGUUAUUAGCUUUAUGUGUAAAAGCCAGCUGGCUGUUAGUGUGGGAGAAAAGAAUAUAAAGGCCAAUUGUGGCUUUAGGAAGGGUACGGUCAUUUUAUUGAAAAACAAUAUAUACCAAAAACAGUUGCAUCUCUAUCUCUCUAUCUCCCUCUUCCAUACCCUGCUCUAUUACUUGGCUACUUGCAGGUCUCAAGUGAAGGACCUGAGGAAUUGAUCUGAUCAGUAUUGCUCAUCUGUGAUUUCCGACGGGGCAGAGGAACACACAACAAAUACCCAUUCAUGGUCACGAGCACCGCUGAUCUGAGCUAAGCGUCCUAAGGGUUGACUGAAGUUGCGAGUUCGGCGGGGCGGUUUUGAUUGGUGGGAUGUUGAAGUUUUUGUUGGAGGAUGGCAAAAUUGUUGGAUCUUGGUGAUGGAGAUGGUGGUGGUGGCUGUUGUGAUGGGCAGCGACUGUGGGUUUGGGGGAGGACUGGUGAGUGACAGUUUCUGGGAGUUGAGACUUUCGGGGUUGUCGGGAUUUGAGUCACUACUUAAUGGUUAAUUUAAUAGCAAACUUAACGGAUGCAUGAAAAUGUCUCAAAAUUAUGACUUUAUGUACCACUCUGAGAUGAAAAAAAUUCAUGUAUUAAAUGUUGAAAACCAAGAAACUUCAAGGUAGUAAACUGAGAUUAACCCUUAAUUCUAUUAUUGUUUAUUUGAUAAAGUUCUCGAUUAAGAACAGCUACACUUACAUUAUUGUUCAGGACUAGCAACUGUAAUAGUACAGUGUGGCAGAUUCUCUUAUUUACGUCUGAAUUUGAACAAUUUAUUGUAUCAUAUAGGAAAGAUGAAAAGGGAAUAUGAGAUGAUAUUGAAGAAAGCCUUGCAAAAUGUCUGCCUGCUUAAUUCAGAUACCACAACUUCAGUUAUUAUUUAGGUGAGGUGUUCUGUUUGUAUGAAAAUCUUAAGUCUCAAAUAUUUUAAGCAUUGUGGUCGACAACUUGAGAUGGUUGUAAAGCAGUGCAUGUAGCGUUAAUGCCUUUUGCUUUACACGCGUAUUUGUUUCGUUCGAACUAAACUUGCAGUGUACAUAUUUAUGCUAAAGAUAAGUCAAGACCUUUGGAGCCUGAUAUUCUUUGUUAGAAUUUCUAUUACAAAAUUAGCGAGGGAUCUUGUCCAUUUAUGCUUCUAUUUAGUAAGAUUAGGGUGGUAAAGAUUUUUGUGGUGUUCUCUGGGUGUUGUUUUCAAACUGCAUUCAUUUCUUGCAUGACCGCAUUAAGAAGCAUUUUUUUGGUCGCACAUUAUGGCAGCACUUCGUUUUGAUUUGUAAACAAACUAUAUGCUUUAUAUUUGUCUUAGGUUACAGUAUAACGUUUGGCAAUUGAAUUUGUAAGACAUUUUAGCAAUUUUUUCACAAGCUUCCUAUUCCUGCCAGAUGCUCAAGUAUUGUGUCUUCUACUUUUCUGUGUUUUUCACGCAUGGUUGAUUACUCGAAACUAUGAGUAUAAUAUUGAUGACACAAUACGAUAUGCAAAUGAAUGUUUCUGAUAGCAUGCAUAUCCAUGUAUAGCAAGCAAAGUAUCACUUCAUUGGUUCUUAGGUAUUGUACUAUCAUUUUAGUUACUUUGUGUAGAAACUAUUCAUGCAUAUUCUGACUAAUACAUUCAAUCUCCGCAAUGAAGCACGUGCACAUUUUCUAGUUGUUUCUAAAAUUAUAUUUGAAUAUCUUAUGUGGUCAUAUUCAAAUAUGUUUUUAUAAUAUUUUUAUUUGGAUUUUGAAUAUCCAAAUAGGUUAAAUGUAUUAAAUUUUAUUUUUUUUUAAUUUAUAGGCAUUCAAUAUUGGAGUUACGCAAAAAAAAGAAGUGAAAAUAGCAAUUUGGGGUGUCUAGAGUAAUUUCCAUGCUAUGUUUGGUAUGCGCAGGACGGAACGGGACGGUUGUUCCGUUUUGCGUUUGGUAAACGCGUGACGAAUGGAACCAAAAAAAAUUAAAUGACUAACUUAUCCCUGUUGCAUUUGUUGUUUGGUGCAAUGUUUAUGUGAUAGGACGGGACAAGACAAUUUUUUAGUUGUUCAUAUUUGAACACAUAUAUGCUUUAUGUGAUAUGUUUUACAUUAGUACUUACUGAAUAUCAAUAUUUUUUUGUCAUUUUCUUAAUUCAUUUUAUUAAUAGUUUAUUAUUAUUAUACACACUUUUUUAUUUGACUCUCUUGCUUGUCUCUCUACUUUCUCUUCUUCCAUAUGCUUCUUGUUCUUCGCAUGCUCAGAUUGCUCCUAGUAAAAAUCAAACUUAGUAAAUCAAGCCCAUACUUUCUCUUCAUUUCUUUUUCUUUCUCUUCAAUUCAAACCCAUAUUUCUCUUCUUUUAAUUUCUCUCUCUUCAAAUCAAACACAAAAAAAUCUCAAAUUGUUUUUUUCAAUUUACAGAGGCUUCGUCGGAUCGUUGGAUUUGCAAAUUCAUUUCAAUGAAUUUUUGCAGCAUCGUCGUUGUCCUUCUCCCUAGGCUUAUGGUGACAGCACCAGAGAAGAAGGUGGAGCGCGGAGGGACUGACCAAGCAACGGUGGAGGAGCUUCAACAUCGUCAACAACGACCUUGGUCUCCUCUUCGUGUUUUUUGUUGUCGUGACGGUGACAGUGGUGGCGGUGCUUGUGGCGCUUGGAUGACUUCUCAAAAGCCUUGUCAUCGUCGGAAGAGGCCCGGCGGUGCUUGCUAUGCGAGUCUUGGGUGUCGCUAGCAAUGGUCUCGUUGUGGGACUAGCAAGGAGGAGGGAGGCGGCAAAAGGAAGGUGGGGUUGGGUUCGGAUGGGUUUGAUGAGAUUGGGUUAGCCAUGGUUAGGUUGUUAGGUUUGUGGUGGAGAAAGAGGAGGCUACAGGAAAGAGGGAGGGUAGAAGAGAGGGAGGCUAUGGGAAAGAGAGAGGGUAGACAAUGGAAUUCAUGAAACAGAGAAGGGUACUAUUGUCCAAAAAAAUUAUAAUUUUUUGUUCCAUAAGCUGGAACAAGUCGUUCCAGAGGAAAUGUGGAACGAAAAAAUGACUAAAAUUCGUUCUGCAGGACAGCGCAUCCAGACAAUUUGGCGCACCAAACGUGGAACGAGUGCGUUCUGUCUCACUGUGUUCUGUUCCAUCUCACAUGCUAAAUGAUACUUUAAUUACUAGUCUAUUCUAAAAUUGAGAAGGAAUUUGACUGUAGCUUAACUACAAUAUAAAGUUUGUUAUUCGAUUUUGCCAUUACAACAAAGCCAUCUAAAUUAGGGCUGGGUUGGAGAGUAAUUAUUAAAAGAUAUGAGGGUAAUUUUGUCCGUAGGUUUGGAUGCCCUCAUGUACACGUGUUGGGCUGACCAUCAGAUGGGUUGCAGAUGGGGAUCAACGACUGUGUGGUAUUUGGUGAGGAACAAUACUUGGCUACUCAAAGAUGAGUAUGAACUUCUACUCAAAAUUCUUAGUAUUUUAAUCACAAAACUUUGUACUUAUGAUCAAAAUCGUUCAUAUUAUGAAUCACAUUAUAAAGAUCAUCUCUGCAAAAAAUAAAUUAAAACUAAGGUCAUUUUAUCAAUUUAUUGUAAUAAAUACAUAGACGGUUCGUAAUGCUUUUACCAUUACCGUUCAUUUGUUUUUAAACAGUUUGAUGACCAAAUGACCUUAGUAUUAAUUGAUUUUUUUCAGAUGCGAUCUUUAUGGGUUGAUUUAUAAUAUAAAUGGUACUGAUUAUAAACAAGAAAUUCUAUAAAUUGAUCACGAAUAAUUUUGAAAAAUUUUGAGUAGGAGUUUUUAUUUGAGUAGCCAAGUACUGUUUAGCCAAGUUUGAUGACCUACUGUUCUUUGGCGAGGGGAUGGGUUACCGAGAGAGAGCCUUCAGCUUGCAAAAGAGGGAGAGAGAGAAGAAGAGAGAGCCUGAAGAAUUCCAACGCUUCUCCUGAACGAGGCUUAGCUGAGCAAUUCCACUUCUCUCUCUCACAAAUCUGCUUUCGUCGCUCUCGACUUCUGCUUCCAUCUCACAGAGGGUAGAGUUGCUAUUGGUCAGAUGGAGGAAUGGGUGUGAGAUUCGGUGAGAGGAAGAAGAGGGAGGAGCAGGGAGAUGGGCUCGAGUCCGCGAACGGCAGAAGAGAUCUUCAGGGAUUACAGUGCUCGGAGAACCGACGCCGUCCACGCUUUAACUAACAGUACUCCGAUCUCUCUCUCCUCAGUUUCUCUCUCGUAAUUUCCUUUUGGCUUUGGAAAUCUCUGACCUUUUGGGUGAUUUGUUUUCUCACUGAUUAAUUGACUGUUCUGCAAAGUAAAUUUAUUGAUUUUUGGAGCGAAAUUUAGCUCGAGUAACUGAAGAGAUCAAUUACAGCAGUUGGGAAACGUACAAUGAGAAUUUGAGUUCUGGGUUUUGGAAAUUUUCUUUCUUUUUUGGGAGUUCUGGGUUUUUGGAAAUUCAAAUUCUUGCAUUCGCAAAUCCAUGUAAAACCCUUCAAUUUUGUUUUGUUUUAACUUUUGAGGUAUGUUGGAAAUAACUUUGGUAAUCUUGAUUUUGGUUUGGUUCAGCUAGGGUCUAGACGAGUCUACCUGCUAUGGUGAAGAUGGAAGAUGCUAAGCCUGAAGUUUCAGCUUCCAACAAUUCAAAUUCCGAGAGCUGCGAUUCUGGUCUUCUCCAAGAUCGAUUUACUUAUUUGUGCAAGGUUGGCGCUUUUUGCCCCCUAUCUAUUGUCAUCGAAUUUAUCUUUUUAUUCUUUCUUAUUGUAAAUGUCAUUUUGUUUGUAAAGUUUAGUUUAUAAACUGUACUUCUAUUUACUUUUUGAAUUUCUUUUUUGUUUAUGUUGUCGUUUCUUGAUUUUAGUUUCUAUGGAUUUAUAUGGUUCUGAUUACAGAUGGUAUUUGUCAUUGGACGAGAACUCUUACAAGCAAGCUGCAAAUAUGUUCAAAGAAACCAAGAUCUGUUAAUAUCAAAUGCUUCAGCUAUUGGCAAUGGAACAGUAUGUAUUGUUAUUUCUCCAUUCUAUAGUCAUGUUAAUAAUGUUAUGUUGAAAUAAGGUCUGAGGUGAUAUCCUUUUUCUGGAAUUUUCUCUGACAAGCGACAACCCCAUUAGGCCCUUGAGAUGGCAGGUGAGGUACUUUUACUUAUCCAAUGUUGUCCCUUCCACCUUAUGUUGUUUAUUGUGGCUUAUACCAUUUAUUUAUGGGUUAUAACAUGUAUCUUCUCUUCUUUGCAUGUGGCAGUCCUCAACUUGAGUUGUGUGACUCAAAAGAUGGGGCAAGGUAACAUUGUUAUUUCUUUUCCUUAUAAGUAAUUUGGUUUCUAUAGAUACCAACAUGUUAGCGAAUCAUAAUAUCAUAACAUCGAGUGCAAAACAAUGACAUCACCAUGGCUGCAGUCAUUCGGGAAAAAAUAACAUACAUGGAACAUUGUUUGUUCAACAGACAUCUACACAAUUUAUUAUAUAAGAGAAAAGCAAAAUGCUUAAGAUCAAAUAACUUGCAGCUGGAAUGAGGUUGAGCAGAGCUGUUUAAGAGUAGAGAGCUAUAAUUGUACAUAUUUAACAAUUAUGUAUCUUUGUUAGUAAAGGCUUUCGCCUUUUGGGUUCAGUUCUAUCUUCUCUCGCCCCCUUAUAUGAUUGAUUCAAUGGAAAGGGGUUUAGUGCUUAACGAUAAAGAUACAAUUUUUAAACAAUUCGUUUCCUUUUCUUUUUAAUUUGGAUCAAAUUCACAAUCUUAUCGAUUAAUUUCAGAAGUUGGGAAUAAAUUUUGGAAUGUGUUUGCAUUUGUCCAUGCCACGAUAGUUUAAAUGAGAAAACUAAUGGACUGAUUAAUUUCAGUAAUUUCAUUAAACCCAGAUUUUGGAAGUGUUGAUGUUGCGGCUGUAGUGGAGGGGAAUGAGAAAACUAAAUUUUAGAGUUUUCUGCUCCUGUGUUAUGUUCCCUAACCUUGGUUUUGUAUUAUCUUAUUCAGGCAAAUGAGAAAACUGAAUCCAUUGUGAUUUGCGUUCUGACAGUGAAGAUGUAUUUCCAUAAUAAUCUUUUCAAAUAAAUGUUACUUUUUGACUUGAGAACUGUAAUUUACCUUUUUUAUUUUAUCUUUUCCUGUAUAUUUGAUUCAUAGGGCUCUUGUGUUGUGAAUUGUGACUGAAAAUUUGAUCCUCAUAUGGAUAUAGGCAAAAACCACUAUUUUUUCCUUAUUACUUUUCUUUUAAAUGUGUUCUGAUUCUGAGAUUGCCUCUUUAUAUAAUGUACAAUUUUUGUAGUUGCCUUCAAUGCUAUUGUCAAUGGCUCGGGUGCUCAAAAGAUCUGUACAAUAUGGUUUUGGCAAUACUGUGGGUAUUGGGGUGAAUAUCAUAAAAGCAAACUUGUGUAACUAUAGAUCUGCAAAUGUUUGGUAGAUAGAGCAAUUUGGGAAUUUGUUCACCGAAACAUCUACGGAUAUCAUGUAUAUCAUUUUGUUUUUUACGUGAAUGUUGGUUGUUGAAUGCCUUAUCAUUUUGGUUUUUAACUUGCCAUUGUUUAUCUAUAUCCAAAAUGAGUCUGAAUCUUUUCAAAUAAAUGUUACUUUCCGAUUUGAGAAUCUGUAAUUCACUUUUUAUUGGUCAUUUCCUAUAUAUUUGAUUUAUAGAGCUCCUGGGUUGUCAAUUGUGACUACUCCUCACAUGGAUUAUAGGUAAAACCACUAUUUUCUUUUCUUAUUACUUUUCCUUUAAAUGUGUUUUAUUCUGAGAUUCUCUCUUUUUAUAUUGCAAAUUUCCAACACUUAUGCAAACUUCAUAGCAUAGAGGAAAUCAAUGUUUUCCAUUUUGGGUACAAAGAACCAAAUAUGUUAUCUAUGUCUUUAAUGAACUUAUUACUUUUAAUUGUUUAGUUUAACCGAUGUUUGGAUGCUUAAAAAUAUUCUUCGUUUUUAGUUCAUUCUGCUCCUCAGUUUAUCUUACGUCUUUGAACCAAAUGCAAAUACCAAUCUUGCAUUGUUAAGCCCCGAAAUUAGAACAAAAAAGCUUGCAUGAAAUUUGAUGUUCUCUCUGAUUGAGAACUCAUUUUAAUUCUACUUGAAUUUUUCUCUGAUUGAUUUCUGGGUUUAUUAAAUUGUGGGUUACUAUUUCAAAACCCUCAGCAGAGCGUGGGCAUUUUUUCUAAUAUGGUCCUUAAAAUUCAGCUACAUAAAUAUUUGACAGAGAUUACUAGAAUCACAAUAUCAAUUAUUAUAAUGAACGGCAAAAUCGAACCAAAUAAUUAAGAAAGUAUCUCGACAGAAUACUUGUAACUGGUUAUUUAUGCAAGUACGAAUUUCACGGAGCUAAACACCAUAUUUUUCAACCACACAAUUUGCAACACUCUAGUAAUUAGGGUGUGCAGAUAUCAAAUACAUGUUUAUGAAGUUCAUUGUAAACAUUAAAAAUAAAAAUAAUAAAAUAAAAUUCCACAACAUCUCCUUAUUUGAUAGACUGCUCUAGCAAGAAUUCUAAUCUGAAGUUGGAGCUACAUAUUUCUCCUAGUUUUAUAGGGCCGAUAGCUUCUUGAUGGUAAGCAUACCAAAUGGAUCGGGAAGGCAAGGAAGACUAUGAGCUGAUAGUUUCUGUGACACAAAAUGCAUUGUCGGACGCAACCCAGGACGCGUCCGUAUACAAGCCAAUGCUAUACUCAUUACAAGCACCACUGCCUUUGCCAAUUCAUUGGCUGGAGGCUCUAGUCGUUGAUCUAACACAUCUUUCAGAAGCAACUCAGCAUUUUCAUUCGUUGACGUUGAUGAUGCUGAUAGGUUGGACUCUAGCAUAUCCCUGGGGUGCCUUCCCAUCAUGACUUCUAGUGCCACCACUCCAAAGCUAUAAACAUCACACUUAUCCGUCACCUGCAUAAUAUAUGCAAGCUCUGCGUAUAAAGAGAAGAAAAUUUGUCAACUCUACAAAAGAUAGUACAAAAUUGUGCAACAUUAAAAUUUUACAUUACCUGGCGCCAUGUAUCCUAACGAACCAACAAUGUUGGUCCAGUUGGAUGAAUCAAUACUCAACGGUCUUGCUGUUCCAAAAUCUGAGAGUCGGGGCUCGAAAUCUUGCUCGAGCAAUACAUUAUUGACAGUUACAUCACGAUGAACAAUUGGUGGUGAGCAGUCAUGGUGCAGGUAAGAAAGUGCAUGAGCAAGUCCUUGCACAAUUUUUACCCUUGUUGGCCACCCAAGUUCAGUAACCCCUUCUACCCCAUACAAUGCUUUUCCGAGGCUGCCUUUCUCUAAGUAUUCGUAAAGCAAGAAUAUGCAACCCCUCCUUGAAGAGAAGCCGUAUAGCCUUAUGAUGUUGCGAUGCCGGAUAGUUGUCAAAGUUUGGAUUUCAUUCUCAAAACUUUGGAGAUUAAUUGUUGGAAUGUCAUUAGAGUCAUUCGUGUUAAGCCUCUUCACUGCAACAACUUGACCUGAUUCGAGCUCUGCCUUGUAUACUCUUCCAAAUCCGCCUCUCCCAAUGCAGUGUUUCUCAUGAAAGUCGUCUAUGGCCUUGACAACUUCCCGAAAUGUGAAUUUCACUUCCUCUUGCAAUAUCAUUGCUUCAAAACUCUCGAAGUUUUGAGAAGUUUUGAUUACCUGAGGCCGGAUCGUGGACCUCUUGCGAAACAUAAGAAAGAAAAAAAUGGCAAUUGCAACAGUUGCGAAACCGCAAAAGGAAUAAAGGAUAAUGGAUACUUUAUUCUUGUUAGCCCUUUUGGAAUGUGUACUGGAAGACUUACAUUCAGUUUGUCCAUCUGCAUGACUCCACAAGCCAUAGUUACCAACAAAAGCACUUGUUGGCGCCUUUUCGAAAAUGCCACAGGUUGGUAAUGGCCCUGUCAAGUUGUUAUACGAAAAGUCGUAGCUACUUAGAGUUAACAUGUCAGCUAAUGCUGAUGGGAUUUCGCCUGAGAGAUGAUUGCGUGAGGCAUUGAAAACCUCUAAUGUUGUGAGCAUGUGCAAUUCUGAUGGUAUUGCACCUGAUAGUGAAUUGCUGCUGAGAUCCAAGUAGACCAAACCUGUUAAGCCUGCGGCGAGAAACAGAUGAAUUGGCAUUACCCCUAUCAAAUUGUUAUUAGACAAUGAAAGAAGCUUGAGGUCCAACAUACCUGAAAUCCUUGGGAUCACUCCUGUGAAGUUGUUAGCAGACAAAUCGAGUUCACAAAGGUGAGAUAAAUUGCCUAGACUCUGAGGAAUCUCUCCUGUAAAGUGGUUAUUGGACAAAUGGAGUCGAUAAAGCUGAGUUAAUUUGUCUAGACUCUGAGGAAUCUCUCCUGUCAAUUGGUUAUGGGACAAAUAGAGUCGCUGAAGCUGAGUCAAUUUGCCUGGACUCUGAGGAAUCUCUCCAGUCAAGUGGUUAUGGUCCAAAGAGAGUCGCAGAAGUUGAGUCAAUUUGCCUAGACUCUGAGGAAUCUCUCCUGUCAAGUGAUUAUGGUCCAAAUAGAGUACUUGAAGCUGAGAUAAAUUGCCUAGACUAUGAGGAAUCUCACCUCUGAAUUCGUUGGAAUAAAGCCUUAGAUACUGCAAUUGUGUCAACAGCCCAAUUUCUGCUGAAAUGGUUCCGCUGAAGCUAUUGUCUUGAAGGUACAAAGAGACCAAUUCCGUCCAAUUGGAGACCAGAGAAGGAAUGAUUUGACCAAUAAAUAGAUUAUUAUCUAAACGCAAUUCAACGAGGUUUUUCAGAUUGGACAAGGACAGAGGCAGUUCCCCACUGAGUUUAUUGGAAGACAGGGACAAGUGGGUGAGGUUUGUGCAAAGACCAAGCUCAGAAGGGAUAGAAGAGUUUAAGGAGUUGUAUGAAAGAUCAAGGGACUGGAGCUCCUUGAGUUUGCCUAUAGAGGGUGGAAUUUUCCCUUCCAGAAAAUUAUGACUCAGGUCAAUAUAUUGAAGACCAGAAAUCAAACCUAUACUGUCCGGAAUUGGGCCAGAGAAUCCGUUAUAACUGUUGUACAAAGAGUUGUUGCUCAAGUCAAGUUGUGAGCCUGGAGAGAUUUCCAAUGGCAUAUGGUAUAGGCCCUCGGAAAUAGUUGCCACUCAGGUCGAAGUGGGUGAGACUCGGAAAUAGGGAAAAGUCGAAAAGAGCCAGUGUUCCGUUAAUUUCCAUACCGGAGAGCUGUAUUUCGGAGACUGUUCUGGUUUUGGUGCAGACAAUGGCAGUCCAGUUGCAGAGGCUGUUGAGGUUGGUGAGGGACCAUGAAUUGAGUAGCGAAGGUGGCCAUGAUGAUGAAGACAAGUCGUCCUUCCAUUUGAUGAGUGAUUCUGCUUGUUUUCCUGGAGAUGUUGACAUCGUUUUGAUCAAUGGUAAUGCGGACAGCAGCAGGAGCAUAUAAUGAAAUGUCAUGGUUUUGAGUUGCAUGAUGAUCUGUUAUUUUUCCGUGGAGUUUUUCCCUUUGUCCAAGGCACAAAUAAAUCGGAGCUAAUAACAACAUUGGAGGUGCAUGCAGACUUUACAAUCCUUUCUUUACGCUUGGAAUUUCGCACAUGACCGUUAAGCUCAAUGGAUUGGUACCAGAAAGUACAAGUUUUUCUGAAUUUCCUUUGUUUUUUUGGUCGCAAGGUUUUUCUGUUUUUCAUGUACUUUUUAUUAUAUGCGUAUGUUCGUGGUUCCUGAAUUUUGAAUUUCCAAGGGCAUUUGGCAAAUUUGUCCAUUUCGUUAGCCAAUUGGCUAAUUUUGUCGACUGAAUGUUUACAAAUUUUUCCAUUUGAAUUUCUAGUUAAUUAAUCUGAUUAAUUGUGACUUGAUUUUGCUAGUGUUUUGGUAAAAGACAUGAUUAAUUGUGACACAUUUCCAUGCCUUAACCCACACGCUGCUAGACUUAAACUCUGCUAAAAUGACUCGAUGUGACCAAUCAUUUUGAGUGCCAUAUCCUUUAGCUGUAUUUUUUCAAAAAUAAGACAUCUUUGAACUUUGUCCAGUCUGCGCAAAUAGACCGCGUCAAUCAACAUUAGCUUUAACACCACACAUCUCUUGAUUUUGAGUUGAAAAACCCUUUCCAAAAUUCCAAGCGUAAAGAAAGGUUUAGGAACUCUACACCUCCGAAAUUUAGUUUAGAUUUAGUUACAGAACUAAAAGAAUCUGUUAACUAGGUUAACUGAAUAUAACAAACCAUGGGUUCUACAUGAGAAUUUCUUCAAUAUGAAACCUAAAACUAAUAUCCAAAUUUGCACCCUCCGUUAGAUUUGGUGUCAAAACAUACUUUGAAUUAAAUAUGUCGUACUCACAUGUGUGCCACAUCAUCAAACUAACAAUUUUUUUUAAAGAAAUGCAACACUUACCAUCUAUUUGAAGGAAAAAUUCCAACUACCAUAGGUCAACUCAGGGAACUUCAGUCCCAUGAUCUUGGAAUCAAUUCCUUAAACUCUUCCAUCCCUUCUGAGCUUGGCCAUUGUACCGACCUCACGUACUCGUUCCUGGCUUCCAAUUUUCUAAGUGGGGAGCUGCCACUGUCCUUGUCCAAUCCGAGCAGCAUUCUCCAGUUGGAUUUCUCCGAUAAUGUAUUUACGGGUCCAAUCUUGCCUUCCGUGAUCUCCAAUUGGAGUCUACUUGCCAACUAGAAAUUGAUACCCCAAGCGUUGCUGCGGGAUUAGAAAUUGUAAGAAAAAUUAUGCCAUAGACGAUUAAUAUUAUUCACAUUAAAAAUGUUAGAAGAUUUUAACAAACAAAAGAUUUAAUCGAUACAGUCCACGUACAAACAAUCGUGAAACUUUUGUCUCUACAUAAAAAAAUUUAAAAAAAAAUUCGAAAAAGCAACUUGGGCAAGGGAAAAAUAAAAGUUCACUAAAGCACCUAAAGUUUCCGUCGAGUGCUCUUGAUUGUCAAGAAAGCAACCUAGGCAAUAAAAAAAAAUGAAAUAUUAAAAUGGCUUAUUAUAUUAAUACCCCACAAAUUGUUGAAUAAACCCCACAUAUUUAAUACACACCACAUUUACUUUUUCACUUAAAAAUUAUCUUAAUACACCCCACAUAUUUUCCCAUAAUACCCCCACGCCCCACAUUCUCAAUAUACACCUUAUAUUUUGUACAUACACCACACAUCUUUUAUACACCCCACAGUUCUCAAUAUAUACUCCAUAUAUUUCGGGUAGUUUGAUUAGCACAGAGCUCCGCAAUGAAGCUGCUAUAGUAAACCGCAAUGAUUCAAUUUUUUUUUUUUCUUUGAUUUGGUCUUAAAACAGAGCUCCGCAAUGAAGCUGCUAUAGUAAACCGCAAUGAUUCAAUUUUUUUUCUUCUUUGAUUUGGUAUUAAAAACAAAAGAGCUCCACAAUGAAUUUGAAUGUAAUUUUUCUUACACAACCUCCAUUAAAAAGUAAACCUUGUUUUUACAAAUGUACUCUCGCCUUGCAAUCAAUAUAUUUCAAUUCAGUUUGUAAAACAUAAAUCAGUCACAAUCAAGACAUAUCGUUUCGGUGGUGGCUAUACUAUUUAGACCUGGUAAUAGCUUAAAUUGUUCCACACGAUCUUGGUAGUUGGCGUAAAGGUGUCGAGCGUUAUUUACUGCAAGAGUAUGCCAAUUUUGUGCAACCGGUGGCAUGGGAUGUCUUGGUGCCAAACGUAGCUGUACAAAAUAAAAGGAGUCAAUUAGCUUUCAAAAACAACGUUCAAUGUUGCAAAAAAAGUAAGUCAACUUUUAGUACCUGUAUAAAGUCAUUGUCAUUGACUAAACCAAUUGCAAUCUCAGGAAGAUUAGUGGGCUCAUCAUCUCCUAAUACAUAUAAAGGUAGGAAUGUGAGGCAUUGCAAACGAGAUAAAAAAAUCACUACUACACGAUAACAUGAAGCUAUAAGAUGGCCCAUAUCUGGCAUGCUCAUCCAAUAGAGUUCCAGUGCAUAUGAAUCUUCAAAAUAGUCAAGUGCUUAGUCAAUCUUAACACGCCUCUCUUUCCAACCAAAAGCUUGCUCAUAUAGGAAUGGGCAACCAUGUACUUCCGCCAAUAGGUCCUUACGUACCCUUGGCCAUGAAUCUUGGCCAAAUCUCAUUGCCUCAGCUAUGACUCUAUAUCCACAAUUACCAUCUCCAAGGACAUCAAUUGCAAUAGUAAUGUAUUGUUUUAUUACCUCAGGGAACUGUCCUAUAUAUUGAUGCGUAAGGGCGGCCGGAUUGUGUAAAAUUGAGCUAUAAGUCUGUAUAGUAAUCAAGGGUUACUUAGUGAAUUCACAAUUAGUAUAUCAAACAUCACAACUAUAAAGAUAAGUGUAUACCUUCAAUUUGCGUGGUCUUCCCCUUGGUUUCUUUUUAGAGGGUUGUGGCUGGCUAUCAUGGCCUGAAAGAGCUUCUGCAAUCUCAAAGGCCGAUGGCAAACGACGAGUAGAAGUGUCAACUUUACGUGGACGUCCUUUGGUUUUAAUUUUUUUAAUUGGUUCUGUAAGUGUCGUAGAACUUGGGUUCAUCAACUCCUCUAUUUUAAUGCAUAGUUGUCGUCUAGAUUCAUUAGUUUGACCCUCAAACCAAUUGACAAACCAUUCAAUGAGUGCUCUUAUUGGAAGAAUUGGGGGACUAAAAGUCGAAGGUUCAAUGAUCAUGUCCAACUUUCUCCAACGAUGAUGUAUACAAUCAAUUGGAAUUGGUUGACUACUACUCCUAUACUUUGCAAUUUCAUGAGCACAUGGGAGUUGGUGUGUACAACGAAGAGUACAACCACAUGAUACAACAUCAUCACCAACUGAGUCGAUUCUAUUAAAAAAAAAAAUUAUAUGUGUAACUAUACACCAUAAAGAAACAACAAAUCCUCAAUUUACCUUUUUGCUUCACACACAAUUAUGUUUAAUGCUUCAAUGGAUACAAAACCUCUUAACUCUCUCAACUCUUCAUGCUUCAAACCAUGGUAGACAAAACAUCGACUCUGCUCAAAUGAGGCAUUUAGUUCAGUGUGUUGCAACUCUAAUAACGCGUGAAUAUUAUUCCACAAUAUAUCAAAGCUAAGCUGGCUAGAGCUAAUCAUCUGUUUUAGCUUUGAAUGUGCACUUUCCGCCCUGUUCAUUAGUAAAAAUUAGUAGACAUAAUAACAACAUGGCUAUAUAUUGAGUAAAACAAGAAUAAAAUUACAUGUUACUUGUUUUGUACCAAAAUGCAUACAAGUGUCAGUCCAUGCAGCCACAAACUUUUCCUUGUGCUCAUUCAGCCAUGUAGUUUUCAAGUAAUCAAUACCUUCAUGAAAUGAACUAAAUUUGGAUUCAAAGGCAUGCCAAUUAUGUAAGUACUCCUCUUCUGUUGAUGAACUUACCAAGGUUUGCCAAUCAUUAAAAAACAUAUUCCAAACCUCCUCUAAUGUGAAGAGUUUCUUGCAAUUGGUUGCAACUGCUUGAUUUAUAUGCCAUCUACACAAUAAAUGUCGAGUACUAGGAAAAACAUUACGAAUGGCAUUCAUCAGUGUUAAAUCUCGAUCAGUGACAAUCACACCAAGAAUACAAUCAUCAUUCAUUAGAGUUUUCAAUCUUGUCAAUGCCCAUGUGUAAUUGUCUUCCUUCUCAUGGUCAAUGAAAGCAAAUGCAACCGAAAAUGUAAUAUUAGUUGAAGUUACCCCUACAAUCUCCAAGAGUGGAAAACGAUGCCUAUUAGUCUUGUACGUGCAAUCCAUGAUAAGUACAUGUGGGAAACAAUGUAAGAUAUCGACAUUAAUUGGGUGAGUCCAAAACAAGUCACUAACAACAUUAUCAACACCAAUACUUCGAUGAUGCUCAAUAUAGUUGUACUCAGCCAACUUACAUAACAAUUGUUGCAUUUCUGAUCUCCCUGCUUUUUCUUUUGUCCGAUGAUAGUGUCUUGCAUUGUAUAUUGUCCUCAUCGUUGUUACAUUAAGUGGAUCUUUUUUCCUUAUGGUGUUCAAAAUAACUUUGGGUCUCACUAAACUUGUAGACAUGUCAACUAAAAGUUCAUUUUGCUCUUUAGUUAAUCGUCCAACAAAAGAAUGCCCUUCAAGAUAUUGUGAAUAAGUAUGGUUAUGCACCCCACACUCAACCUCCAAUUUCCAUUCAUCUCAUUCUCCAACGUUGACUCCUUUCAACAUAAAUGGACAUCUGCAUUUUUUAGUACUAGUAUUCCUAGGUUCUAUCUUCUUCUUAUUAUUUGCAUCAGAAUUUUGGUCAUUAAUAUCAGACUUCCUCAAUAUGGAUCGAUACUCGCCAUGUCUCUCACAAGCAAAUGUUAUUCGAGCUCUCUUCCUCCUUCGAUCAACCCCUCCCGUGUCAGACCUCUUAAUGACAAUAACCAUAUUAUUCUUUUUUCCUUGUGUGCGAGCCCAAUCAAGCAAAUCAUUUUUACUUUUGAACACCUGUACAUACAAGAUCAUUGCCAUUUGCCACUAACAAAAUGUUUGUAGACAUGUUAAGAUUCCAACCCAUAUGUUUUUCCCUAUUAUGAACCUAAUGCACUAUGCUGCAUAAAAGAAUACAAGAGUUUCCAUGAAAUUCACAGAUGCACAUUCAAUAUACUAAAAAUAGUUACCUCGUCAGUUUUAAAUGCGUUUGUGUAAUCAACGACGCUCGUUGUUGCAACCUCAAUGUCCCCUAUAGAGGUAUUGCCUUGUAUGCUAUCCUAUUUAAAUACACCAAAAAUUAUUAUCAAAUCCUCAUUUAUUUAUUAAGAAUCAUACACCUCAAUUAUUUGUUAAGAACCAUACAACUCAAUAUCAAUAGGCAGAGUGACUUUCUUUUUGGUAAAGGAAAAAAAUAGGAGAGCUAGAUAAUAACCCAAAUUCUCAUGCAUAAAAACAAAGAAUACGAAAUCAAUUAGACAGUUUGGCCUGUUGCUUACAUCCACCCUCAGUUUCUUGGGAAUUUAUAUAUCCUCCAAAUUCAAAUGUGGAUUAUGGUAACUCCGAAAACCUUACACACCACUAUUAGACAGAAAUUUCACCCAAAAUCUUAGGGACUCAAGACCAGAAAUACACAGCACAAUCUAGAAGCUUCUCUGCUGUGAUUGUCACUGGGGAGAUUCAAAGGUUUACAAAUAAAUGCAAUGGUAUAUAUCAUAUUAGUGAAGUGACCAACACUCUCACUGUUCUAAAUCUUUCUCUCUGUGAACUGAACUCAACCAAGAGGAGAAGGUAAAUAGAUUUGGUCUCUAGGAAUUCUCUCUCAAAUCUAGGAGGAAUGAAGAGGAGUAAACAGAUGAAUAACAAGAAACGUUGUUUAUAACAUAUUUUAUCAAAGGCACAAUCUACUAUGAAAAGAUGCGUAACUUCAACCCCAUAAAGUGUCGUCAACUCCACAGAGCAAAGAGUAGACCGGGGGGUUAAAGAACUAAAAUGGUUUUGGAUUCUGCCAGGAACAAUGAACAAGGGACUACACGUCACUCAACGAACUGGAUAUAGAAGUUUAAACAUCGCAACGAACUCAAGAUUAAAUUAUUAUCGAUGUCAUCGAAAUCACUAAAAUAAUGAAAAAUAUGAAGUCUUACCUCAUGUGAAGGUUCCGAAACAUUGAUUUCAUGUUCCAUUCGUCAAAAACAAUUUUUUCUCAAUCAACAUGUUUGUAGUUUCAUUGGUUAGAGUUUUGUUCAACAAUGGAGGGUGGGAGGGUUUUGAUAGUUGAGAAGAUAAAUAAGGGUUAGGGUUUAGUGAUUUGGGGUGUAUUUAGAGAUUUUUAUUUUAUUUUUUUUAAACCUAAUAAGGUCAAAAUUGUCAUUGCAUAAUGGGGUAAAUAAAUCAUUUAAUAUUAAAUUUUAAUGUGUGGUGCAUUCAACAUUUUAUGGGGUGCUAAUAAAAAAAGCCUAUUAAAAUACAAGCAAUUAAUUUAUACAUCAACAAGUUUAUACUAUAAAAAAAAGGAUAAAGUAUGGUUACACAGUCUUUUUUUUGGUGGAAAAGUGUUGGAAUUUAGGAUUAUUUUAUUGUUUGAAUUUGGGUUUAGCCCAUUAGUAUUAGGGUUUCGUUUUCUUACUUAUUAGGGUUAUAUUAGUUCUCUAUAUAUAUGAUGUUUUGUAGCUCGUAGAAUUAUCAAGUUAUUCGCAAUGUAGUCUCUUGAGUUAUGUAGCUGUCAUGGCAAUCUUUUGUUCACUUAAUAAAAUUAUAUUAGUUUAUAGUUAGUUUGUUAGUUUGUUAAUCGUGCACUUUGAUAUUCAACUUAGUAUCAGAGCAGGUUUGAUCCUCCGGGUUAAAUCUGUUCUUGGUAGCUAGUUUGUUUGUCUUGUCAUCUUCUUGGUUGUGAUUUGUUUUUUUCGUUGUGGCCUAGGCUAGGGUUUCGCAGUUGCCACAAAAAAAAAAAAAAAAAACUGAAGCUUUAUUGCACGAACGGCCUGCAACCUGAUCAACCCCGAUCGACCCACUUAGCGACCUGUAAAGCAGCCACAACCCAAGUCCGCUGAUCCGCCGCCGCUCUGAUCCGUAGACCAUUGCCAUCACCAUCGCAUAAUCAAAACUACCCUUGCCGUCGUCACAACCGCCUCACAUCUCCGCCUGAACCAUGAUCCAGACCCGUGAAAUCAUCUACCCACCACUGAUUGCGCUGCCUUCGCACCGUACCCACAUCAUCUCCGCCGCUUUGAUCUGCACUUCACUGCCCUGCUAUCCCAUCGCGUCAAGAAUCCCAGAAUUGAGAUCCCAUACCUGCACUCGGAUUUGUUUUCUCUAGAGAACAUUGCCCAGAUAGAAGAAAGGAAUAAGGAAAUAGAAGCUGAAAAAUAGAAAAAGAAAACAAGAAAAGAGGAAAAAAGGAAAGAAAAAAAAAGGUAUGGAGCUCACAAUCUGUUGGGCUAUUAUGAUUUGCUUGGAGGCCAUCGGUUGGGCCUUGUUGAUUGAAGCCUGGAUUGUUCAUUUGCUCGUUUGAUUGCUCGCCGGUUUGCCUUGUCGUGUCUGCCUAAAGGAGCUUGCCUUGUCGUGUCCGCCUAAAGGAGCUUAUCUUGUCUUGUCCGCCUAACGAAGCUUGCAUCCACGUUUACUUGUUGGCAAACUCAUGACGUGUACCGCCGUGAGUUUGAUGGGGGUGUUAGAAUUUAAGAUUAUUUUAUUGUUUGAAUUUGGGCUUAACCCGUUAGUAUUAGGGUUUCGUUUUCUUGCUUAUUAGGGUUAAGUUAGUUCUCUAUAUAUAUAUGAUGCUUUGUAGCUCGUAGAAUUGUCAAGUUAUUUGCAAUGUAGUCUAUUGAGUUAUGUAGCCGUCAUGACAAUCUUUUGUUUACUUAAUAAAAUUAUAUUAGUUUAUAGUUAGUUUGUUAGUUUGUUAAUCAUGCAUUCUGAUAUUCAACUAAAAGAAUCUAGUUUUAUACCAGUUAGAGAGGACUUUUUUCAGUGAUUUAAUAGCCUCUUGUUUAAAUCACUGCAUUCUAAUAUUGUAAAUGUAAGUAUUGAGAUUUUAUGUUAUAGCUAAACAAUCAAACUAAAAACCAAGUUAACACCCAUAGAAUUAUCCCCUGCAUUCUCAAGAGGACCUAAUUCACUUCUUAAUUCUACCUAACAUGUAUAACACUUAACACUUCAUCUGUAGCUUAAAAUAAUAAAACAAUAAUGAAAAUGGUAGAAAUCAGACAUUAAUUUUGAAAUCCUGAACAAAUACAAAUUAGAAGACAGGACAUUAAAGUAACUGGUAGAUUGAAGACUGACUAGGUUGAGAGUGGAGCUUGCUCUGCACUUCACAAAAAGUCAUAGAAAGUACCGACUCUUAGGUACCGUUUGGUACGUGGGACGGGACGGGACGGAACGGGACGAGCCGUUCCGUCCCACGUUUGGUGUGCCUAAAAAUUGUGGAACGGGUUGUCCCAUGGGACGAAAUUUGGCUGAUUUUUCGUUCCACCUCUUCCUCCUGGAACGACCCUUUCCACAUCCGUGGAACACAAAUUUAUAACAUUUUAUGACAAAAUUUCUCCUUAUCUUUUUCAAUAUUUACAUCAUCUAUUCUGUCCUGUUCCAUCCCAUCCCGUCCUGUUCCGUCCCGUCCCGUCCCAUCUGCGUUCCAAACGGUAGCUAAGAACAAUCGGGUUAGUCUAUGAACAAUGAGUAGGUAAGGAAAACAUAUUUUCCAAUCGAAUAGAUAUUUAUGAAAGAAAAUAAGAGAAUCAGGAUGCCUAUUCUAAUAUCCUAAGCAGGAAUUUGGGAAUUUUCCCACAACCUACACUAAAAGUGGGAUAGCUAAGGAAAACAAUAAGCAACAAUUAUUUUGUUAACAAAGAAAGAGAUAUGUUAUCCACACACCUCAUUUUACUUCUCACACACCCCUUGAUAAUUUUUGUCUAUUGAUCUUCUUUAAUUCAUCCGAUCCGACGGUCGAAAAUUAAAAACAUGCGUGUGAAGUAAAAUGAGAUGUGUGGAUAUCACACCCCAAAAAAAAAGUCUAAUUGUGUGAACAUGCGCAAUUCAAUGGAUUGCCGCUGCCUGGCCCGCCGAAAGCUUCAUUGGAUCGGCCGUUCCGAGAAGCUACCCGGAAGUACAAGUUUUUCUGAAUUUUCCUUUGUUUUUUUUUGUCGCAAGGUUUUUCUGUUUUUCAUUUACUUUUUAUAAUAUGCACAUAUUUGUCCAUUUGAAUUUCUAGUUAAUUAAUCUGAUUAAUUGUUACUUGAAGAUUUUGCAAGUAUUUUGGUAAAAGACAUGAUCAACUCGGUUCACUUGCUGCUCUGCUGCUUGCUUUAUUUGAAAUCACUCAUCAGAACAUCUACUGUACUCUUCUAGAUAUUCUUUUCCUUUUUGAUUAUGUGUUAUGUGUUGUGUUUCUCGUGUUUACGUGUGACGCAUUUUCAUGCCUCAACCCACACGCUAGACGCUGACGACUGAUAUUUAUUCGUCAACUCCACACUUGACCAAGACAUCCUUUCACAGUCCACGCACUCUAGGUGUUCGAUCGAAAGCGCCCGUGCUAUUUCAACACCGGCGUGAUGGUGACCGACUUGGUAGAUGGACCGCUUACGAGAAAGAUCGAGAAUUCGAUGGAGAUUCCCAAGGAGAAGCGGAUAUACGAGCUGGGUUCUCUUCCGCCGUUCUGGUGUUCGGCGGCAACGUGGAAGCGAUUCACCACUGAUGGAACCAGCAGAAGAUUCGGGAAUGCCUUGCCCUGUCGAUCUUCUUUGGGCCCCUUACGACCUCUACAAACACCAUCAAAGUCACCUUCAAGAUCUGCAUCUUCUUCAACAUCACCACCAUCAACAAACACAUCAGCAAUUUUUUAUGUUCUAGCACAAUACACAGAGGAUUAUUGUUUGAUUAUUUACCUUUUUAUAGAAAUCAUUGUUGCAUAGGAGGAAAUAUGUUUUUUUAUCAGAUGUAAAUAGUGAGAGAGAUUUGAAUAGGGUGAAAUAGGACCGGCGAUGGGGAGAGAGGAGGGAUAGAGUUUUGUUUUAAUUAAUUUAAUUGUUAAAUAAAAUUUAUUAAUUUUGUAUUUCAUUGUGGAUCCCGCUCCUACCACGUCAUCAUUUAACAGUCAAAUUGACAGAAAAUUUAACAAAUGUCUAACAUUGCAACGAAUUCAUAAGUUGAGGUAUGAUAUUGCAAUUUUUAAAAUAUGAGGUAUGAGAUUGUUUUUCGAUCCAUAAUUAAGGUAGUAUUUUUUUGUAAUUUACACAUUCUUUUUCAAUUAUGUGCCGUGUUUGUCGUGUUUACGUGUGACACAUUUACGUGCCUCAACCCACACGCUUGACGUUGAAUCUGAUAUUAUAUGCAUCAACUCCACACUUGACCAAGACAUUUCAAUCCUUCACAGUCCACGCACGCUGGGGCUGGACUUUGUUCAGUCUGUGCAAGGGCCACGGGAAGACUAGACCGGGUCACUCAACAUUGGCACCACGCAGCUCCUGAUUGAGUUGAAAAAUCCUUCCCGAAAUUCCAAGCGUAAAGAAAGGAUUAGAAACUCUGCACCUCCAAGAUUCUUACUAGCUCGGAUUUAUUUGUGGAGGUGAUAGAAGCAAAGGGGAGGAGCAUGCAGAAAAAGGGUCUCGUUCUUGAACUAGUGUUUGUGGAUUUUACAUUGUUGUAAUCUGUUUUAUGACUUGUAUUACAAACUACAAAAUUCCUAUGUUUUAUGAGCUUUAUGUAUGUUUUCUUGAACAAUAUUUCUCAUAAUCUUAAUCAAAUAAUUUUUCAGUUACCAUUGAAAGAUCAUCCACGCAAAAAUUCGCUUGAAGAGAAAGCCAUGUAAUUACUAAUUGUGGCAUGACAAAUAGACGACGACGACGACAGAGUUGUCGAUAACAUAUAUAUAACUUUGUGUUCUAAUAUUAACUUGGAAUCUAUAAAAUUUGGUGUUAAUUGUAAUAUUCAGUGAUUAUUUACAUGAUGGUACAAAUGAUCCUUAUAAGGUGGACGUACUAAUGAGAAUACAACAUCACAGGAAUAUGCUAUUAACUAAAUUCUAUAUAUACUAAAACCCAGCAGCUGUUCCGAAGCACGAUGAAAUGACGGAUUUGUCCUCUUCAAACGUUCUUUUCUUUCAUUUAUUUUAUGGGGGUAUAGUGAAAAGACAAGAAUGCCCUUUCUUAGGCGUGGUUCGCUCGCGGCUUUCCUCCUCCACCUUUGCUUUUUUGCUUCAGUCUGAAUCGACACGUUCCCUGACCUUUUCCUUGUUACUGCAGUUCGAAUCCACACGACAACCUGCUCUUCCAAAUCAAUUUCCGUACGUUUCAUUUGGCAACCCUAUUCUUCCACAUCGUUCUAGACCCAAAACCCAAAUCGUUGUUGCUCAUCCAAAACCCAGAUAGCCGCCACCACCACGUUUUACAAAUUCCUCUUGACUGAAGGUAAAGCGAAAAUUGCCCUCUUCAUCUCCACAAGUAAAUUUGAUUAUCUAUUAAUUUCCCCCAAUUUUUUUGGUUUCAAAUUUACAUCGAUUGCUAGGGUUUUGGAAGGGUGUAUGGGUUUGGGUAAUAUCCACAAACUAGGUUGCACGGACACUCUGAAACUCCAAAGUGUUAGAGUGUGUUUUUAAUCCUCCAACAUUUGACGCAUUUUAGACUAGGUUGCAUGAACACUCCAACAUGCCCCUGAUACGGGUUGGACACGACACGGCAAGGGUAUUUUUGUAAAUUUGAAAAAUAUUUUGAAUCUGUUUGGAAACAUUGAAACAUUUGGGGCAAUCUGAAAAUACAAAACCUAAAGCCUAAAAACAACCGGACCUAACCUAACUUGAUUCUAUAAUCUGCGCCUUCCUUCCACUUCUCUUCUCCCAUGCACUCUUCCUCUCUUCCUCUCUACGGCCUCCACUUCAGUUGCAUUCUAUUUUAAUUGGAGGUGAGUGGUUGAUGUUUCACUCGCCCUCUUUAUUUAUAAAUGAUGUUAGGCUUUUUUUUUUUUUAAUUUGUUGGUUGUUUAAUUUGUUAUUGGGCAUAAAUAUAUCGUUUCUUGUUUUAAUUAUUAUACUUGUGUUGUUAUAAUUAUUAUGUAUAUGUUAUUUUAGUUAAUAUGUAUAAUGAAUGAAUUUGAUGAACAUGAUUAUUUUGUUAUAUUAUCAUUCACAUUAUUAUUUUUAAUAUAUGCUAUAUUUAUUAUAAGUUUAUUAUAUUUUAAUCGAUGUGUCAUAGCUGUGUCUGUGUCAUAUUUUUUAAGAUUUGCCAUGUAGCAAUAUCACCGUGUCGCGUGUCGUCACAUCUGUGUAUGUCUGUGCAACCUAGAGUCUAGAUUUCGUUACGGAAUUGAAAAAUUCUGUUAACUGAGGUUAAUUGAAUAUAACAAACCAUGGGUUCUAUCUGAGAUUUUCGUAAAUUUAAUUACGCGGCAAGAUAUAGGAUCCAUAAUGAGAACUAAAACCAAUAUCCAAACUUGCACCCUACGUUAGAUAAAUUAUUUGGAUAAUUUAAAUAAUUUGAUGGGAGACUUGAGUUCAUUAUAUAUUUCACUUGCGAAUGCGGUGAAGUUGAUCAAUACGUAAAAAGUCUUGGUCUAUGAAUUGAUGAUCAUUUUUCUUAUCAAAUAUUUUGCUUUAUAAAAGUAAGUAACCAAAAUGAUGAAUGAGAAGACUAGCUCGGUCCUCCGCGUGAUUCGUGGUGGCAAAGAUUCACCGAAGGUUUGGAUUACAUAACAUCAACUAUACAUGAUACAGUUUGCGGCUAAGCCUUAGAUGAAAUGAAACACACAUAACCAUGAAAUCAGUUAGGAAGCUGCCUAUUACGAUUUCGUUUAAUUGUAAUUGAUUUUAAGAAUACUGUAUUUUCCUUUAUUCUCUCAUUAACUUGGAGUAGUCCCCUGAGUCUUGUAAAUUGCCUUCCUAUUUCCUGUAUAAGUUUGGCUCUACAGCCACAUCAAUGAAAUAUGAAAUUCCAAUUACUACGGACACCAUGGAUUCAUCUGAUCCGUACUUCCUACAUUCUUCGGAUCACCUAGGACUUCAUCUUGUCUCCAAGGUUCUUGAUGGAGAUAACUAAGCCAUGGUGUCGUGCCAUGACAAUUGGUCUUAGCGUCAAAAAUAAGAAUGGCUUCGUUGAUGGAGGAGAUGCAACGAUAUGGUCCUCACUUGGUUAGCGUAUUCCUUAUGCCAAGAGGUACUCGAUAAUAUCAUAUACCUUAGUACUACGGCUACAGUUUGGCCUGAUCUCAAAGAUUGGUUUUCACAAGGGCUGCAGUCUUGGGUUUACAUGGCUUAACAAAUUAUAAAUUUGGUUUCCACGCAGAGUUCCCAAACACUACACUUUUCAACCACUCAAUACAACUAUAAGAGCAUCUCCCUAUUUUGCCUCAUGAACCCCCUAGGUAUUUUUGUCUACACAUUUGUCUAGUCCCUUGGGGCCAUGUUUUGCUGAUGUAGCGCAACAAAUCUAAUUCGCCUAGUAAAUUGCCUGGUCUUUUAGAGAUGCUCUAAGAGCAAGUCCACCGGAGUGAAAUUUGCCCAGCACCCAGUCCAAAUAUCAAGCUGAGGGUCAGGGAAUCCACUCCAGCCCGUUCAGUUGCCUGGCACCCAGCCCAAGUCAGACAAUAGACCAGCCCAUUUUUAACAGACCCAAGAGUCGGCCUAUUUGGUUGGCACGUGGACUGGACUGGACUGGACUCGCGCUUGGCAGCGAGUAGGGGACAAGGGGGGCAGGCGCUGUCAACCCACUUGUGCUGCAGCGACGUGGCAUGCUCAGAGCUGUUGGAUUUCCAACGGCUAGUUUUUCUAGACCGUUGGAUUUCCAAUGGUAACAAAAAUUUAAAUUUUACUUUUAAACUGGACCGUCCGAUCACAGAUCAACAGUCCACGUUUCCCCCCCCCCAAAAAAAAGGGCCCAACGGUCAGAUUUAUGACUGUUGGCCACGUGGCAGAUCCUUGGCUCUUGGAUUUGAAUAUUUUUCAAAUCCAACGGUCCAGAUUAAUUAACUACAUUAAAAUUAAUUAAAAAUUAUAAAAAAAUACAUAAUUUUUUUUUUAAAAUACAUUAAAAUUUUAAAAAAGUUUUUUUUUUCCUAGAAAUACCUAACCCUCAUCUUCCUCCUUACACCACAUUUCAAUAUUUUCUACACUUUCCAUACCAUCUACAUUUCAAUAUUUUCUACACUUUACGAGAAAAAAAUGUCUUCGUGGAAGCUCAUUGAAGAUGUUACGUUGUGUGAAUGUUGGGUUCACACUACUCAUGACCCGAUUACGGGUAAUGAGAUGGAUAAGCGAGAAAUGUGGAGUAAAAUUACGAAAGUGUUUUGCGAUGUACAUGGAAAAAACGCUAGAACUAGCCAUGUUUAACAUAAUCUCGUAACUCGGGAUCUAUUUCUGUGUUCUGUUUGUAUUGAUUGAUGACAAGAUGUAGCCAUAAAAUAUUGAUUUUGACAUUUUAUUUUUGUUUUUAUAAAAAGGUUGUAUGAUUUGUAAAGAUCCAUGAUUGAUGGUUUGGUGUUUCUGGGUUCGUGGGUUACGUUGAUUGUUGAAUGCCUUAUCAAUUUGAUUUUUAAUAUGUCAUUGUUUAUCUAUUUCCAUAAUAAUCUUUUCAAAUAAAUGUUACUUUUUGACUUGAGAACUGUAAUUUACCUUUUUUAUUUUAUCUUUUCCUGUAUAUUUGAUUCAUAGGGCUCUUGUGUUGUGAAUUGUGACUGAAAAUUUGAUCCUCAUAUGGAUAUAGGCAAAAACCACUAUUUUUUCCUUAUUACUUUUCUUUUAAAUUCUAUAUAUACUAAAACCCAAACGGGUGGAACACUGUUCAUGAACAGUGAAAGUAACAGUGAUCUGACGAAAUUGCCCUUGCUUGGUCUGUUUAAUUUCAAUUGCGCCAUAUUUUACACGUGUUUGUCAUCGGUGAAAUGGAAGCAGGCUGAAAAAUCUGGGGUGUUCCACCUGUUUCCUUGCUCUUCUUUUCCUCUUCUGGACUCUUCUUUUCCAUCGACUUCUCUGUCACUAAGUCGCAACCAACUACAACACCGAUUCACCCUCCAUUUCUCCUGCUUAGCAAAAGAAAAUCAAAGGGGUUCACCUCCUUGGGUUCCGUAAGAUGCUGGAAGCAUCUUUCGUUUCUCUCUUUCUUCUUCUUUUCUUCCACCUCUUCGUUCGCCGAAGCAACUAAAAAUAAAAAACCUACUCGCGGCUUCUUCCUCCCGAUUUCGGAGCUUCUCUCCCUUCCACACACACUCUCUCUCUCUCUCCCCCCCUCCAUUGAAGCACCUCUAUACACAGCCUAUCGUUUCUCCCGUAAUUAUAUAUUUAAUUAUUUGAAAGUUAGUUCUUCUGUGUAAAAUUCUUGAACUUUUGAUUACCUGCAAUUUUCAAUUUUCUACAGUAUAGGAUUUUUGGAUAAUUUCAUGAUUUAGCGAUCCUACUAAUGAUAUAUCAAGUAGAAUCAAUAUGAGGAAUAGAUUCUUCAAUUUCGUAGCUUCCAAGCCUAGACAAGAGAUUUUUUGCGUUUGUUUAUGUCUGAUUUGCACCGAUUUUGGUCGGAUCUAUUUCUGAUUUUGUUUUCCGUUUGAGCACCGGUUGUUUUUGCAUUGCUGGGAAGCUAAUUUUCUACAACUGAGGUAUGUUUUCUAACUGCUGUGUUUUGAUUAUUUUUGGAUGGAAUUGUAACCGUUUGGUUUUGGGUUGGCUCUGUUCCUGUGCUAGAGUUUUCCUGGCAAAGAGGAUAUUUUGCGGUUUGGUUCCUUGUUUGGUCAGUCUCAGUUUUACCGACGGUUCCGGCGGUCCUGUUAUUUUUUGGGUAAGUUAUUUCUCUUUUUUAUUUUUCCUGAUUUGACAACUCCUUGGUUGGUGUUAGAUUAAAAUGUGUGUGAUUUUUUCGAAAAAUUACUGGUGACAUGGAUUAACAAGAUUCUUGAGUGAAAAACAGGCUUUUUAGUGCGGUUAAACAGAAAUAUAGAGAUUUAUUGUAAGAAAGUUAUGGACGAUUUAAUCAAAUUAAUUGUACUGAUAGAGAUAUGAAUGAGCCUAAUGUUUAUUCUUUUCACUCAAACAUCAUUAUACCAUUACAGAAAAUCAGGAAUUUGAACAUCAGCUUGCGACUUCGCCGUCGUUUUGAACGCCACCAACUUCGAUGCAGUCCUUGGAGACACCCCUGCCUCCUUUGCCAUAGUCGAAUUCUUUGCUCACUGGUCAGCUUUUCUAAUUUCUAUGUAAACCAUUGAUUUUAUUUGGGAAAUAAAUGGAAACCCUUAUGUUUUUGCUUAAAGUAUUGAUCUUUGAGUGUUACUCAGUAGAUAUUAGAUCGAUUGCCCAUUUGAAAAAGAAGUGAGAUCACAUGGAUGAUGGAUCAUGUGAGGUUCUCCAAUUAUUUGAGAUCACAUGGAAAUAUUUACGUUGUCAUAACUAAAAUGAUCUGAAAGCUUAUUGAGAAUUGUUGUCAUUUGCUUUUCAUUGUAGCGUUACUUUCUUAAACUGAUUAGAGCUAAAGAUUGCUAAUUCCUUAGCAUUCAGUGCAUAUGCUUAUUAAUGUCUGUUUGUUAUCUUAGAGGCAUAUGGUGGUUUAGUUGCACUCUGCACACGUGCAACUCAAGGCUGACCCCAAAUUGUUCCUCCUGAAAUGAUGUUGUGCUUAUUUGUAAAUUUUCCUGCUCAUCUACAAUUCAUCUUUUGUCUCUUGAUAUCUUUUACAGGUGCAAAACGCCAUAGAGUAUUUAAACAUCAUCGGGGCCUUUGAUGAGAAUGAGAAUCUGACUGUUUUAGGUGGGGAGAGAUUUAUUAUUCUUUUAAUAUUUCAAUUAUGCAUUGUGAUGCUUGCAACUCUUUGUAAUGGUUGUGAGUUUAAAUUUGAAAAUAAUUAGCCUAAUGCAGUUUAAAUCACUUGACAGUUUAAAUGCAGGUUGUUAUAUAGAGCUUAGGAUUUAGGUUUUCCAGUUCAAUCAAAGCUAAUUAGACAAAAUCAUGAAUUAAUUAAAUGUGGUGUCUUCCUUUCUCCUCUGUUUCUUUUGUUGUUGGGUGAAAGUGAGCAUGGGUUUAUGAUAACCUAUUUAAAAGGAAAGCUGGAGAGAGAGAGGGUAAUAAAGUAGGUGCAUAUAGGGACUCAAAGGUUAAGGCAUACUGAUGCACAGAUUGGUAUGGUAAAAAUGAAAAGAAAGUGAACCCAAUAGAAUAUAGAAAAUGAAGUGUUCAUCCAGUGGAAGAAUUUUUAGACAAGAUGAGAAGAUGUAAACAAUUGGAGGUCCAUACCAUUUUCCAAGUUCUUUAUUAAUGUGAAUGUUUAUGUUAUUCUGAUUAGGAACUUAAGUGAAUAAAUCGCUUUCAAAUUUGUAAACAAAUAAUUGUUUACAAAAUAAUGAACUUUGUUAAACAAAAAUAAUUGCUUACAAUAGAGAAUAACUGUAAACAUUAUUGAAGUAUAUAUUUAAAUAUUUUUAAUUUAUAUAAAUAGAUAGGUUGCUAUUGCAUUCUGUGCCUAAAUCAAAUCACUAACUUGAAACCAUGCUCUUUAUUUGGGAACUGUGUGUAUUUCUUAUUUGAAUUAGUAUGGUUUGUUUUUCAAAUUUGAUUUUGUGUGAUUUCAUUUUGAUAGAUAUUUCAGAAUUUCAGAAAGCAAGUGCGGUUUGAUCAAUUAAGGCCAACCUGAUUUACAGAGGUCUGAUUAGAGGUACACUACUAAUUACCUCACUUUUCUCCCAAGAGUAUGCUGCUUUUUCCAAAAGGAAAAAGAUUAGCUUGGUUUGAUCUCUUAUUUGAAUUGGGUAGAUCUGGUUUGAUCUCUUAAUUUGUGUUGUGCAAAUUUUGUAUGAAUUAAUUUGGGUUGGGCAGAGGAAGCAAAUAAUUUUUUAAAUUAAUAAAUUUAGUUUGGUUUUUACAUAUGUUGAUGAAUAUUAUUUACCAAAGCAUGAACAUGUGUCAAGAAACUGUUCGUUUCAAACUAUUCAUUACAACUUUGCACCAACUGUUUUUGUUAUGCCUAAUAGUUUUAAAACCUGCAGCAUCGCGCGGGCUCCUUUGCUAGUGUGUUCUGAUUCUGAGAUUGCCUCUUUAUAUAAUGUACAAUUUUUGUAGUUGCCUUCAAUGCUAUUGUCAUUGGCUCGGGUGCUCAAAAAUAUCUGUCAAUAUGGUUUUACCAAUAAUGUGGGUAUUGGGGUGAAUAUCAUAAAAGCGAACAUGUGUAACUAUAGAUCUGCAAAUGUUUGGUAGAUAGAGCAAUUUGGGAAUUUGUUCACCGAAACAUCUACGGAUAUCAUGUAUAUCAUUUUGUUUUUUACUUGAAUGUUGGUUGUUGAAUGCGUUAUCAUUUUGGUUUUUAACUUGCCAUUGUUUAUCUAUAUCCAAAAUGAGUCUGAAUCUUUUCAAAUAAAUGUUACUUUCCAAUUUGAGAAACUGUAAUUCACUUUUUAUUGAUCUUUUCCUAUAUAUUUGAUUUACAGAGCUUGGGUUAUCGAUUGUGACUACUCCUCACAUGGAUUAUAGGUAAAACCACUAUUUACUUUUCUUAUUACUUUUCCUUUAAAUGUGUAAAUGUGUUUUAUUAUGAGAUUCUCUCGUUAUAUAUUUGCAAAUUUCCAGCACUUAUGCAAACUUCAGAGCAUACAGGAAAUCAAUGUUUUCCAUUUUGGGUACAAAGAACCAAAUAUGUUAUCUAUGUCCUUAAUGAACUUAUUACUUUUAAUUGUUUAGUUUAACCGAUGUUUGGAUGCUUAAAAAUAUUCUUUGUUUUUAGUUCAUUCUGCUCCGCAGUUUAUCUUACGUCUUUGAACCAAAUGCAAAUUCCAAUCUUGCAUUGUUAAGCCCCGAAAUUAGAACAAAAAAGCUUGCAUGAAAUUUGAUGUUCUCUCUGAUUGAGAACUCAUUUUAAUUCUACUUGAAUUUUUCUCUGAUUGAUUUCUGGGUUUAUUAAAUUGUGGGAUACUAUUUCAAAACCCGCAGCAGAGCAUGGGCAUUUUUUCUAAUAUGGUCCCUAAAAUUCAGCUACAUAAAUAUUUGACAGAGAUUACUAGAAUCACAAUAUCAAUUAUUAUAAUGAAUGGCAAAAUUGAACCAAAUAAUUAAGAAAGUAUCUCGACAGAAUGCUUGUAACUGGUUAUUUAUGCAAGUACGAAUUUCACGGAGCUAAACACCAUAUUUUUCAACCACACAAUUUGCAACACUCUAGUAAUCAGGGUGUGCAGAUAUCAAAUACAUGUUUAUGAAGUUCAUUGUAAACAUUAAAAAUAAAAAUAAUAAAAUAAAAUUCCACAACAUCUCCUUAUUUGAUAGACUGCUCGUAGCAAGAAUUCUAAUCUGAAGUUGGAGCUACAUAUUUCUCCUAGUUUUAUAGGGCCGAUAGCUUCUUGAUGGUAAGCAUACCAAAUGGCUCGGGAAGGCAAGGAAGACUAUGAGCUGAUAGUUUCUGUGACACAAAAUGCAUUGUCGGACGCAACCCAGGACGCGUCCGUAUACAAGCCAAUGCUAUACUCAUUACAAGCACCACUGCCUUUGCCAAUUCAUUGGCUGGAGGCUCUAGUCGUUGAUCUAACACAUCUUUCAAAAGCAACUCAGCAUUUUCAUUCGUUGACGUUGGUGAUGCUGAUAGUUGGGACUCUAGCAUAUCCCCGGGGUGCCUUCCCAUCAUGACUUCUAGUGCCACCACUCCAAAGCUAAAAACAUCACACUUAUCCGUCACCUGCAUAAUAUAUGCAAGCUCUGCGUAUAAAGAGAAGAAAAUUUGUCAACUCUACAAAAGAUAGUACAAAAUUGUGCAACAUUAAAAUUUUACAUUACCUGACGCCAUGUAUCCUAACGAACCAACAAUGUUGGUCCAGUUGGAUGAAUCAAUACUCAACUGUCUUGAUGUUCCAAAAUCUGAGAGUCGGGGCUCGAAAUCUUGCUCGAGCAAUACAUUAUUGACAGUUACAUCACGAUGAACAAUUGGUGGUGAACAAUCAUGGUGCAGGUAAGAAAGUUCAUGAGCAAGUCCUUGCACAAUUUUUACCCUUGUUGGCCACCCAAGUUCAGUAACCCCUUCUACCCCAUACAAUGCUUUUCCGAGGCUGCCUCUCUCUAAGUAUUCGUAAAGCAAGAAUAUGCAACCCCUCCUUGAAGAGAAGCCGUAUAGCCUUAUGAUGUUGCGAUGCCGGAUAGUUGUCAAAGUUCGGAUUUCAUUCUCAAAACUUUGGAGAUUAAUUGCUGGAAUGUCAUUAGAGUCAUUCGUGUUAAGCCUCUUCACUGCAACAACUUGACCUGAUUCGAGCUCUGCCUUGUAUACUCUUCCAAAUCCGCCUCUCCCAAUGCAGUGUUUCUCAUGAAAGUCGUCUAUGGCCUUGACAGCUUCCCGAAAUGUGAAUUUCACUUCUUCUUGCAAUAUCAUUGACUCAUAAUCCUCAAAGUUUUGAGAAGUUUUUAUUACCUGAGGCCGGAUUUUGGACCUCUUGUGAAACAUAAGAAAGAAAGCAAUGGCAAUUGCAACAGUUGCGAAACCUAAUAAGGAAAAAAGGAAAACAGGUACUAUAUUCUUGUUAGCACUUUUGGAAUUUGUACUGGAGGAUUCACAUUCAGUUAGUCCCUCUGCAUGCAUGGACGGAGGGAGGUAAGGCCUAGUGGGGGCACAUGCCCCUUCUCAUCUUUUUUGUUUCAUUACAAAUUAUUCAAUUAAUCAUAUUAAAAUAAUGAAAAUCCUUUUUUAGUUUUUAAAUGCCCUUUUGUCUUGUAUAUUUUUCUCACGCACUAAUGUCUAAACCUUGUUGAGUUGCAUGUACUUGGUUAAUUAGUAUAAAUGAGCAUUAGAUUGUCAACAAUUAAAGACAAAAUUAGAUAAUAGAGUAAUAAAAUUAGGCAUUUUGUAAUUAAUUUUUUCAGCAUUUGUAAAAGAACUAGCUUUAUUUGUCCAAAAAAGAGCUCAAAUUUUUUAAGAUGCCCCCUCUUGGUAAAAUUUCUGGCUUCGUCCCUGUCUGCAUGACUCCCCAAGCCAUGGUUACCAACAAAAGCACUUUUUGGCGCAUUAUUGAAAAUGCCACAAGUUGGGAAUGGCCCUGUCAAUUUGUUAUAUGAAAAGUCAUAGCUACUUAGAGUAAACAUGUGAUCUAAUGCUGAUGGGAUUUCGCCUGAGAGAUUAUUGUGUGAGGCAUUGAAAUACUGUAAUAAUGUGAGCCCGCCCAAUUCUGAUGGUAUUGCACCCGAUAGUGAAUUGCUGCUGAGAUCCAAGUAGACCAAACCUGUUAAGCCUGCGGCGAGAAACAGAUGAAUUGGCGUUACCCUUGUCAAAUUGUUAUUAGACAAUGAAAGAAGCUUGAGGUCCAACAUACCUGAAUUCCAUGGGAUCACUCCUGUGAAGUUGUUAGCGGACAAAUCGAGUUCAUAAAGGCGAGAAAAUUUGCCUAGAGAGGAAUCUCUCCUGUCAAGUGGUUAUUGGACAGAUGGAGUAUAUAAAGUUGAGGCAGUUUGCCUAGACUCUGAGGAAUCUCUCCUGUCAAUUAGUUAUGGGACAAAUUGAGUCGCUGAAGCUGAGUCAAUUUGCCUAGACUCUGAGGAAUCUCUCCUGUCAAUUGGUUAUGGGACAAAUAGAGUCGCUGAAGCUGAGUCAAUUUGCCUAGACUCUGAGGAAUCUCUCCUCUCAAGUGGUUAUGGUCCAAAGAGAGUCCCUGAAGUUGAGUCAAUUUGCCUAGACUCUGAGGAAUCUCUCCUGUGAAGUAGUUAUGGUCCAAAAAGAGUACUUGAAGCUGAGAUAAAUUGCCUAGACUCUGAGGAAUCUCUCCUCUGAAUUCGUUGGAAUAAAGCAUUAGAUACUGCAAUUGUGUCAACAGCCCAAUUUCUGCUGAAAUGGUUCCGCUGAAGCUAUUGUCUUGAAGGUACAAAGAGACCAAUACCGUCCAAUUGGAGAUCAGAGAAGGAAGGAUUUGACCAAUAAAUAGAUUAGUAUCUAAACACAAUUCAACGAGGUUUUUCAGAUUGGACAAAGACAGAGGCAGUUCCCCAUUGAAUUUAUUGGAAGACAGGGACAAGUGGGUGAGGUUUGUGCAAAGACCAAGCUCAGAAGGGAUAGAAGAGUUUAAGGAGUUGUAUGAAAGAUAAAGGGACUGGAGCUCCCUGAGUUUGCCUAUAGAGGGUGGAAUUUUCCCUUCCAGAAAAUUAUUACUCAGGUCAAUAUAUUGAAGACCAGAAAUCAAACCUAUAUUGUCCGGAAUUGGGCCAGAGAAUCCGUUAUAACUGCUGUACAAAGAGUUGUUGCUCAAGUCCAAAGUUGUGAGGCUGGAGAGAUUUCCA